AGGUCUAACUUGAGAUUAUUACAUUUUGACUUUUCUUCCGAGACAUCAUGCACACACGCUUGAAGUUACUGGCAAAAGGAUGGAUUUGAAGAGAAUGAGAGCUGUUUGGAAUGGUUUGGUAGGCUAGGACAGGCACAUGGGCACAUCAUCCCUCACACAUUCGUCGACGGAGAUGUGAUACAAGAAUGUCAAGGUGAAAUGGGAUACACAAAGGCUGCCCCAGUCUGGUGUUUUGGAAAAUGAACUGGGGUUUGGAUCCAUGAACAUUAGGGUGAGAAAAUCAAGUGAGACUCGCAAAGUUGCCCCGGUCUUGGGAUUAUGGAUUGAUGAAAAGUUCGUGUGAGACUCACAAAGUUGUCCCGAUUUUUGUUUGUUUUUUUUUCUUUGUUUAUUGUGGCAUGGGUUGAUGAUAAACUCGGGUGAGACUCACAAAGUUGUCCCAGUUUUUCUUUGGCAAGGGGUUCCAUUUGGAAGAGGUAUUGGACAUGAAAAGGAUCGGUUAAAAGGAUGACCCCAAAUUAGUUUGAUUUUUCUUUUGCAUGCUUCUGGUUAGGUGGCAGGGUGAUCCCCUCUUCCUGAGACAUUACUUUUUCUUUUUUUCCCUUUUUUUUUCUUCUUUUCUACGACACACUGAUAGUCAUUUCACUUUAUCGCAAAAUUAAGCUUUAUGAAAAUUUGAGCAAUCAUUAUNCAAUCUGCAUGGACUUUGUUAGGCUUGUAACGUGGCUAGGGGCUAAAAGGAAUUAGAAGAAAAGGUAUAAAGGCCCAAAUGAAUGUUUGUUGGUUAUUAUUUUUUGAAACAAGGAUUAUCAUCUAAGUAUUGCAUCAACUAUUUGACUUUUUGAGCACUUUGUUUUUUUUUCUUGAACUUCGUUUUUCAUUCUUUUUGCUCAACAUCACUUUGUGAUUUCUUUUUGUUUUUUUUUUCUUGUUUUUCUUUUGUUUUUUUUUUUCUCUUCUUGAUGAAUUCUCUUUGUUUGACCACUGAGUGCUCCUUAUUUGCAUCAUGAGUUGACUCUUACCUGAUGACAACCCUUGCUUGGGGAUGAUUUUGAAAAAGGAUUUAUUUUUAGCUCAAAUAGGGUGACAAUGGAUAUAUUUUUGCUUUUAGGUAAAAACAAGAAGGCCGCACAUCAUUUUGAACUCUGAUUGCUUUAUUUUCAAAAGACUAAUUUUGCGACUGGAUGACCGCAACAUGAGUCGUUUUUUUUUUUUCUGAAAUUUUUUUUAGGCUUUUUUUUUAGACUGCCCUUUCGGGUUUUCAAUCUAGUGGACUUAUUUUCUUUUUGAAAGUUUCUUUUUUUUUUGUGAAAAUUCUUUUGUUCUUUUAUUUGCCUCAAUGGUUUCGGGGAUCACCCAACUAGCGCAAGCGAGAUAAUUUUGGCCAGACCAAUCUGCCCCAGUAUGAAGGUUUACUUUGUUACUUGGGGCAAUGUCAGUGUUUGUGAGGAAAAUACUUUAUUUUGGGAAAGUGAAGGGUGUAGGUUUUCAAGCAACAUGUGCACAAACGUCUUGAGAGAAACGUCAAAAUUGUUAUUUUUUAGACAUUUGACCUCGGAAAAGUCUGACACUACAACUUUUGUUUUUUUUAUUGCCAUUUUUUUUGCUAUUUUCGAAAAACAAGAGUUUGAAGAUUUGCAAGAAAGACAAAUGACUCAAGAUCGCCAUCAUUUUUUCUUUUCCAAUUUUGUUUUAUUUUUUAAUACCCUUUCAGGACUCGAUUUCCAGCACUACUUGGAGAAACCCUGUAGUAAUUGUUCACAUUGAAAAUCAUGGACGAGGAUGUGAUAACAAUGAACACAGAUCUCUUGGCAAGAUACUUCACAAUCAUCAAAUUCACUUGUACGAUGGCUUAUGUUUUCUUAUGUGGUUCUAGAGCCCGCAUCAUUGUUUCAUAGCAUCUGUAGAGAUAUUCUCAAGCCUUGCCUUAGUGUAGGGUUGACUUUCUCUACAGUUUAACAAUUCUGAAUCGAUCAAAACUUGUCUUUGCGCUUGACAACAAACACUUUUGGUGUAAUGAUCGAUANCCCCUUCAUGGUAAAUACCUUCGUAUCGUGAGUCUUGAAAUAUUGAGGGUCUAAAGGCUUCAUGUAACAAUUAGAGACAGGGCCUUUUUGAAACAGACUUGGAAGCAACGUUGCUUAAGUCAUAUGUNUAGGAGUAAAGCUCGCAGCCUUUUCUCUUGAUCAAUCAUUUUCCUGCCCAACAACUUAGUGAGAAGUUGAGUUUGGAUCAAAUAUCCCAUUUGUCUUGCAAUUGUUUCAAGUGAAGGGUAGGCCAACGGGAUUUGAGCGAUAGGAGGUGAUUAAACUCUUUGCUUUCUUCUCUUCACAAGCUUAAACCCGACUUGUUCAUAUUUGCUAUCAUGGUAUGACCUUGCGUGACCGUUCCAAUCCUCACACUAACUUCAAUUCUAUCUUCAAGCAUCCUCAGGUCUACAAAGUUUGAUGAACACUGCUCACCAUGGUCUCAUAGAAGGUGAUCGCAGAGUAUUUAGGAAUGUGUCAACCAUCUUAUUAUCGCUCAUAAUAGACUUUCCUUGAGCAACAUUCUUUCCACCUUUGGGUAUACUCUUUGAAUGAUUUUGACGGCUUUUUCACCAUACCCUGUAAUUGUAAUCUAUGAGAUGUCACAUUCGUGUUAUAUUCGAAAUGCUUCAAGAAAGCACCCACCAAAUCCUCCCAAGACUGUAUGCACGAAUGUUCAGGAUGAUAGCCUCAGUUUAGCGGCAUGCCAGCCAAUCUUCCUUGGAAGAAAUGAAUUAGCAACUUUUCAUCAUAUGNNCACACAGUNGUUUUCUUGUCAUACGCCAUGAGAUGAGUCUUAAGACAAAUGGUCCCUCUAUAUUUCUCGCCUUUGGAAAAUUUAAACUUUUGAAUGUAUCAUCAGAUCCGGGAUUAAGCAAGCCUUGCAACAUUUUCAGACUUAACGCUUCAUUCACCUUCUAUGGCUGUCAUCCUUUUUCAACAUUUCAAAUUUACCCUUGUCAACCUCAACAUCCAUUUGUGCACAAACAUGGAAAGAAGACUUCAGCUCGGAUUGCCUUGUUAUCAUCAUGUUCACAAUACUUGAUUGAAGCCUUUUCCUAGGGACCAUGAAAGUGGUUGCCCCAAGCUUGUUCUCCACUUCAACUGCAUUAUCUUCGGCCUUUUGAGUGUGAACUUGCCCCUGAGUACGCUCCUGAGGGUGAAGUGUAAUUUAUGGAAGACCAUGUAAGGGAAAAUUUGAGUCUCUGAUACUCUUUGUUGCAGUCGUGGUGAACACGAAUCUUCAGUUCCCUGUAAGGCAUUCAGGGCCUCUAAGGCUUGGCUCAUUUGCCCCUUCAAUUGUUGGAUAUCAACUUUUCAUCCCUUCUUGAACUUCUCCUUGGUUCUCCAAGAUUUAGUAACUGGUUCGAGUCCUUUUUUUUUUUGAUUUUUUUCUUUUUUUUUUCUUUGAAAUUUUAUUAGAUGAAACACAAGAGAAAAAGAAAAUAAACAAUAAAAAUGAAAAGAAAAAGAGAAGACGAUGUAGUUCAAAUUCUCUAGUCAGAAAUUAUAAAGCUGUGAAAAGAUUGCCCCGGUAUAAUUUGGAAAUUAACACAAGACUGAGUCAAUAGGGUAGCUCAUCAUUCAGAAGUUCACAAAAUGUGAAGCAUAGGAAGUCUUUUUCCACUACUCUGGGGCCUUAACCAUCAGCUUUUUCAUUUCCCCCAUUGAUUUCUUGCAACAAUUGAGGAAUGUUUCAAUCCCCUUAAGCGGGUUAAAAUAUCGGCAAUGCAGACACAACCUCGGCUAAUGACCUAGGAACGUUUUCAAUGGCUUUAUUGGUAAGGGAAGCUAGUUGUGAGAGGCUUCACUUUCAAUUCUCCCUUGUUCAACAACAUGUUCCUUCAUUUGAAUUACCAAUUCUUGAUUUAUACUUUUUAGCAUGAUGCUAACCUUCCUUCUUCAGUUUGGCCACUGCUGCUUUCACACGUUGUUCAGCAUUGUGAAAUUACUUUUCACCAUUUGGGUCAGGAGAAAUUAACUUGGAUGACAACUUGACUGUAUUGACCCCCUUGGUGUGGUGGCAGGAGAAGAGAAUGGGCCCAACAGCCUGGCCCAAGCCUAACCCUAACAGAAACAUUAGGGGUUUCUCUAGCUUCCUCUCAUUCACGCAUAUGCAAAUACAGAGACCUCUAGACUCUCUCUUCCAAAUCCAGCCCAGGGAUAGAUGCGCCUCCUCCGCCUGCACACUACCACCAGCGGCUCUGACAACACUCUGAACGGCCACCGCAGGCCGCUGUCCUUUGCGUCGCCAGAGCUGCCGCCAGACAUCACGGCGGACCGCCACCACCUUGCCCCUUUCUCCUUCGCGCGAGAGGAAGACGAACUCACUUGGACGCGUGCUCCUCGUUGCCGGCGAAACCGGGACCGUCAGUCGUUGGCCAUGAUGUCGCCGCUUUGCUGCGUCUCCGAGAGCCACCACGAGGAUUCUCUCUUCUUCCUCUGAACGCGACGCGUCUUCUCCCCAAUUUGGAGCACACCGUCGUACCUUCCACCUUGAGAGAACUACCACCCCAAAAUUAUGCUAGCGACUCUGCCGACGCUUCUAGUAGUUGUCCAAGACCAUCACCAGGUUUGCCAAUGGAAUAGGUGCAAGCAACAUCUCCCAUCUUCUCCUAUCGAUUAGAUAUUCACAAUGAAGAUGGUGAGAUUUGGGGUUUCCUCCUCUAUUUGAUGGUUGUAUGUAUUUUAUUGAAUAUGUGAUGGACUGGAAGUAAGGGUUUGAUGCUUCAAGAAUUGAGAUGAAUUGGUAUGUGAUGAUGGAAGGCGUAAGGGAGACUAGGAAGCGGAUUUGGCUCUUUCUAUUUUGGUUUUUGAAUGCAGGGAAAAUGGUUUUAGAAGUAUGAUGAGGAGGAUGGGAAUGAAGAUAGAUGGAGAUGAAAAUGAUGGAAGGGUGCUGACAGUGGGAGAGACCGUGAAUGGAGAUGGUUACAGUUUGGGUAGAGCAGAGGGAUGGAUUCUGGGUUAUGUGUGAUCAAGAAUUGGUUUCCAUUUUUCUGUUGAUUGGGAGUGAUGAAAGAGUGAUGAAUUAUGGUAGUUUUNAGAAGACUUCAGCUCGGAUUGCCUUGUUAUCAUCAUGUUCACAAUACUUGAUUGAAGCCUUUUCCUAGGGACCAUGAAAGUGGUUGCCCCAAGCUUGUUCUCCACUUCAACUGCAUUAUCUUCGGCCUUUUGAGUGUGAACUUGCCCCUGAGUACGCUCCUGAGGGUGAAGUGUAAUUUAUGGAAGACCAUGUAAGGGAAAAUUUGAGUCUCUGAUACUCUUUGUUGCAGUCGUGGUGAACACGAAUCUUCAGUUCCCUGUAAGGCAUUCAGGGCCUCUAAGGCUUGGCUCAUUUGCCCCUUCAAUUGUUGGAUAUCAACUUUUCAUCCCUUCUUGAACUUCUCCUUGGUUCUCCAAGAUUUAGUAACUGGUUCGAGUCCUUUUUUUUUUUGAUUUUUUUCUUUUUUUUUUCUUUGAAAUUUUAUUAGAUGAAACACAAGAGAAAAAGAAAAUAAACAAUAAAAAUGAAAAGAAAAAGAGAAGACGAUGUAGUUCAAAUUCUCUAGUCAGAAAUUAUAAAGCUGUGAAAAGAUUGCCCCGGUAUAAUUUGGAAAUUAACACAAGACUGAGUCAAUAGGGUAGCUCAUCAUUCAGAAGUUCACAAAAUGUGAAGCAUAGGAAGUCUUUUUCCACUACUCUGGGGCCUUAACCAUCAGCUUUUUCAUUUCCCCCAUUGAUUUCUUGCAACAAUUGAGGAAUGUUUCAAUCCCCUUAAGCGGGUUAAAAUAUCGGCAAUGCAGACACAACCUCGGCUAAUGACCUAGGAACGUUUUCAAUGGCUUUAUUGGUAAGGGAAGCUAGUUGUGAGAGGCUUCACUUUCAAUUCUCCCUUGUUCAACAACAUGUUCCUUCAUUUGAAUUACCAAUUCUUGAUUUAUACUUUUUAGCAUGAUGCUAACCUUCCUUCUUCAGUUUGGCCACUGCUGCUUUCACACGUUGUUCAGCAUUGUGAAAUUACUUUUCACCAUUUGGGUCAGGAGAAAUUAACUUGGAUGACAACUUGACUGUAUUGACCCCCUUGGUGUGGUGGCAGGAGAAGAGAAUGGGCCCAACAGCCUGGCCCAAGCCUAACCCUAACAGAAACAUUAGGGGUUUCUCUAGCUUCCUCUCAUUCACGCAUAUGCAAAUACAGAGACCUCUAGACUCUCUCUUCCAAAUCCAGCCCAGGGAUAGAUGCGCCUCCUCCGCCUGCACACUACCACCAGCGGCUCUGACAACACUCUGAACGGCCACCGCAGGCCGCUGUCCUUUGCGUCGCCAGAGCUGCCGCCAGACAUCACGGCGGACCGCCACCACCUUGCCCCUUUCUCCUUCGCGCGAGAGGAAGACGAACUCACUUGGACGCGUGCUCCUCGUUGCCGGCGAAACCGGGACCGUCAGUCGUUGGCCAUGAUGUCGCCGCUUUGCUGCGUCUCCGAGAGCCACCACGAGGAUUCUCUCUUCUUCCUCUGAACGCGACGCGUCUUCUCCCCAAUUUGGAGCACACCGUCGUACCUUCCACCUUGAGAGAACUACCACCCCAAAAUUAUGCUAGCGACUCUGCCGACGCUUCUAGUAGUUGUCCAAGACCAUCACCAGGUUUGCCAAUGGAAUAGGUGCAAGCAACAUCUCCCAUCUUCUCCUAUCGAUUAGAUAUUCACAAUGAAGAUGGUGAGAUUUGGGGUUUCCUCCUCUAUUUGAUGGUUGUAUGUAUUUUAUUGAAUAUGUGAUGGACUGGAAGUAAGGGUUUGAUGCUUCAAGAAUUGAGAUGAAUUGGUAUGUGAUGAUGGAAGGCGUAAGGGAGACUAGGAAGCGGAUUUGGCUCUUUCUAUUUUGGUUUUUGAAUGCAGGGAAAAUGGUUUUAGAAGUAUGAUGAGGAGGAUGGGAAUGAAGAUAGAUGGAGAUGAAAAUGAUGGAAGGGUGCUGACAGUGGGAGAGACCGUGAAUGGAGAUGGUUACGGUUUUUGGGUAGAGCAGAGGGAUGGAUUCUGGGUUAUGUGUGAUCAAGAAUUGGUUUCCAUUUUUCUGUUGAUUGGGAGUGAUGAAAGAGUGAUGAAUUAUGGUAGUUUUNNUGUGCGUGCUGGGAUGGAGAGGAAAAGAUUGUGUGNGGUUCUGUUUNUGUUGUUGGUGAGUCCUAAGGAAAUUGUCUGUAGUGUUGAUGAGUGAUCCGAUUGGGCAAGGCCAGGAUAAGUGGUGGGGCUGUGUGAUGGAGCCAGAGUGAUGAAUCUGUUAAAAAAAAUGGUGUGUGUCCAGAAGGAUUGGGCAAUGACCGUGGUUGAAUAUUGGAGGUUGUUGGAGAUAAGGGGAGAAUUCCUCUGCUUCAUAUGCCAUGUGUGUUGAGUGAUCAAGCCUGGUCCGUUCUUCUGCUUGGGUGUGAUGAAGGAUAUGGAAGACCCAUUCUGUUAUGUUCCCCCUUUCCAUUUCCAAAACGUGUCCUUUUUUCCAACUAUAUUUUUUUUCGUUUUCCUUUUUUUUUCUUUCGUUUUCUUUUCUUUAUUUUCUUUUUUGUUCUUUCUUUUUUUUUUUCUUUUUCAUUGCUUUUCCUUUUAUCUUUUUUAUUCUUUCGUUUUUUUCUUUUACUUUUUUUUUUCAUUCAUUUUUUCCUUUUCUUUUUCAUCAUUUCUUUUUCGUUUUCUUUUUCCUUCUUUUUUUUCGAAAUAAUAAAAUCAAAUGAAAACUAAAAUUAAAUCCAAAUAAUAAAAUAAAAUAAAAACUAAAUCAAAUAGUAAAAUAACAAUAAAAUGAAAAUAAAAUAAAAUAAAACAAAAGUAAAAAUCAAGUUCUAUUAUUUAGUUGCCCGGACGAAAUUGGGUGUUGACAAUAGGAACACACAUUGCAAAUCAACAAUCAAUAAAAGCAUUGUUCAAUCUAGUUUGUUAUACAGCUGAACAUGUAAACUUGGAACAUAUGUACUGUUAUUAAGCAGUGUGUUGUCAUCAUCAAAAACCAGUUUGAUAUAGAGUUUGUGUUGUCAACAAUCUCAAGAAAUAUUGGAUGGCAUUCACUCAUGCUAACAUCCAACCAUGCUCCCAUGUGUCGGACAUCACAGUUCACAGGAUCAUGUUCAUAUAUUGCAUGUUGAGAAGUAUGAAUGUGAACAUUGGUGAAGUCAUUACUACUGAGAUUUAGAGCUGCACCACUACUGUGAGCAACAAGGCACCACUGGGUCAUCCUUCUUGAUCACACAUCUAUGCCAGCAGGCUGGGGUGGAUUUCUCUACUGCACCAUUCGAGAGGCCUAGGAAGGCCAUUGAUGCAACAUAUUACAAGCAGUACUAUGGAGGAGAGGAGACAACUAGACUAGUGCCUCAAAGACGCCUCAGGAGAGGAGCAACCGAGUAGGAUGAACCAGCACAACACGCUUAGCCUUUCCAGAUGAGAAACAUGUAUAUGUCUAUGAUGGAGGCUAGAUUGGAGUCUCUAUACAGAGGGCAGGUGGCCACUGCUGAGAUGAUAGUGAGUCUAUACGAUACACCACCAGCACACAGGUGGACUAUGGAUGAGUUCCAUAAUGCUAUGGCAUGGCCAUAGGAGUAGGCACAUAGUAGCAAAGUUGGAGUAGAUGAAGCUCCAAUCAUGGAUGAUGAGGAUGAGGAUGAUGAUUUUGAGGAUGCAGAGGUUAGAGAUGAUGAUGAUUCUGAUGACAACAUGGGGGUGAUAUGGCAUCUACUGAUGGAUGCCGGUUACAGUGUAACAAGGUUUUAUUUUUCCUUAUGAUUUGUAAUUUGAACUUUUAGAAUAGGUUGAAUUCUAUUGAGUAGUGUAGGUUUUACGGUACUUGCUUGAACACCUUAUCUGAUGAUGGUUUGACUUGUUGAUUGCAUGAUGAGUUUGCUUGAUGAUGUUUGAUGUGGAUGAUGAUUGAGAUUGCUUUACAUGCUUUUAUACAGGUGAAUUGCUCACAAGCCGUGUGAAUAGAUGCAUGAUGAGUUAUGAGUGUGAUUAUGAUGCUAAGCAGGGUGUAUGAUUGGUAUUUGAGCUGUUGAGAAAAGCAUGUAUUACCGACGGCCUUGAGGCCUUUGGUAAUGUAUUGGUGAAAUUAAAUAUCGAGGGCUUUUGCCCUUUAGUAAUUCCUACGAUGCUAUAAGUUCAAAAUUUGAGUAUUAGUUCCUCAGAUUUCCCAAAAGUACAACUACUUCCCUCAUGGUCGUCAAACUCACUCAUUGACCUAGGGUUUCAACUUUGGUGCCGGUCAACCAGUUCGACGCUGCGGUUCGACGACGCGAGUUUGGUGGUGUGGGCGAAGAAGGAGGGGGAGGGAGGAUGUUUGAUGCGAAAUCUCGCUGGAGAGGCCCACCACUCUGCCGUUUGAGGAGCACUCAACGCCGAGUCACUAUUAAGUCCCAGGCAAGUGUAUCAGAUCGUUAUCAAGUAAUAUAAAUGGGUAAGUCCAAGUAUCGUUUCCCAAAGGACUCUUAGGCCUUAAUUUUCAUGUAAACUAAUUGCGUAAGACUUGAGAAGAAAUAGAAUUUAGGUUUUUAAAUGCAAAAAGAAAAGUAAACAUGCAAAUGCAGUGAUUCAAUUGGCUAAAAGUAACUAUGGAUGAAUGAAGUUGUUGGGGUGUACAAUUUCAUCUUAUCCACCCUCAUAUAUCUACUCUUCUUAUUUAAUUUGCUUAUUUAUCAUAUUGUCAUGCAAACUUUCUUGGUCUACCCUUAACCCAAUCCCUUGGAGAAAAGAGCCUAUUACUAAUUACCGGCUUGCUAUCCCUAGCCUCCCCUAUGCAUGAUAAAUGGAAGCAAAAUAUAAUUGAUGGUCCUACCCCUAUGCAUAGGUGGUAUUGCUUAAUCAAGGAAUUCCCCCAGUUCAUGACAUUACUGUACGUUCCCGUAUCAAUAAAGACAAACAACAUUUACCGAAUGAGUUAAACGAUAAAAGCAUUAAAUACAGGUGAGGAACCCAACAAUUGAUAAAUCAAGCAUAUGCAAGCAUAUAAACUAAAUAAGAAUUUGGAUAUAUAAGAGUUUCAAAAGAUUACAUUGUUCCCCAACAACCUAGGGUUUAGUUCACCAUAACCAUGGUGAAACUAGAUGAAAUAUGAUGAAAGAAUGGAAAAAAUAACCCUAAACUUGGUAGAUUGGAGCCUAAGCAUCCAAGGAACCUUCUCCAAGGUGUGUCGAAUAUCUAUGGACGUUUCUCUCUGCCAAAAGAAUAUAAGCAAACAAAGAUAACAGAAAGAUUACAGAAUCUAGCUAAUAAAAAUAGACAACCGCCCAGGCGCCUAAGUAAACCGGUUAGUGGUUUCCCCUCUAGCAGUUUGGACCGCUCAGCGGUCAGUUUUGCAUUGAGCGGUUUCCCUCUAAUCGCUCUGGACGCUCAGCGGUCCAUUCUGGCACUCAGCGGCUUACUUGACCAUUCUUUUCAUCCUUUUUCUUCCUCUUUCACGGGUCUAAGUCCAUCUUACUUUACUUCCAUCUUCAAUUCACCUUAAAACCCUGAAAAAAAAUGUAAAAACAAGCAUAAUAUAUCUAAAACCAACUUUUGACUCUCUCAUGACUCAGCUAAGUGUUUCACUUACAUUUAAGCUCAUUCUAAGCCAUAAAGGGUGUGUUUUAAUAUCAAAUUCAAGUAUGAAAAUAACGGUUUUUAGACCGUUAUCAGUCACGCAUCGAAGCAAGCGUCGGCUCUGGUCCAAUUGGAGAGUGUUGAGAUUUUUGACAACACAAACUCUAUAUCAAAAUGGUUUUUGAUGAUGAGAACACAUUGGUUAAUAACAGUACAUAUGUUCCAGUACUACAUGUUCAGUUGAUAUGCUAUACUGUUUUGAACAUUGUCUCUAUUGAACAUGUUUUGUUAUUUUGCAUGGAUGUUCCUAUGAUUGAAUAUGUGUUAUAUAUUUGGCACAUGCCUUAGUUGAAAUGUGUGUUAAAAUGUUCUUGAUUACUGUUACACAUUUCCAAAGAAAAGCUCACAAGUACUUUUAUGAACUUAUAUUUGUUGUAACAAAGGUUUAGUUCAGUCGACUACACUGGUAAUGGAGUCGAUUAAGCUAAAAUCUUUGUACAGAUUUUGUACACGUGUACUUGAUGAGAUUUUGAGAUGAAAAGAAUUUCAAAGUGUUUUUCAUUAGUCAGUCGACAAUGUGGAUCACUUAUUCGACUGUAUUACUGUUGUAUUUAGAAUUCUGUUUACCUACUUGCUCCAACGGCUAUAUUUUCAAAAGUUAGUUAAGAUUAACUAGCUGGGUCAACUGUCAUAAAUGUGUGUUAAUUCUGUUGACUGAGGAGCCUGUGUGUUGACUAUUUGUUAUAACUGAUUUUAUAUUGUCGACUCUAUUAGUAGGUCAUUCAACUGAGACUAACAGGAAAACUAUAAAUAGAAACAGAACACGAUUUGUUUUGAGACUUUUGUGAUCUGACAUUUUCAUUGUCUGUUUUAGAGAAAGCUCUCAAUUUCAAACGCUUAAAGAAUUCUCCAAGAAGACGGUGGUGAUCUUUCUUGAGAGAGAUUCAGAUUAAGGAGUCAAUUGGGCUUAUUGUUUGAUCAACAACUGCACAAUGAAGGUGCUUCUGGUUUGAUCUUGAAGGCUUGGCAUCCUAUGAAGACUGCUGCAUUUGACUGAAGGCUUGGCAACCUGUGAAGUGUGUUGUGAUAGGCUUGGCAACCUAUGAAGCGUGCUGUGAUAGGCUUGGCAUCCUGUGAAGAGUGCUGGUGACACGUUGAGGAUUGUUCAACGUGGGGGCAGAUUGCAGGAGAGCGGAUUCUUCCUGCAAUUCUGGUUUUUGCGUGCAGCUAUAUUUGGUUUUGGGUUAGAGAGGAGAUUUAUAUUUUUGCGUGGUGCUUCUAUAAAUCCCUUGUUGUAAAAACCGCAACCACUAUAGUGCAUUUGCUUCCAAGGUUGGAAGGACAAUGGAUGUAGGCUUUUGAUGAAGGUUGAAAAACAUUUAUUUUCAUAUGUCAUUUUAGACCUAAUUACGCCCUUUACUACUUGGAAUGAGCUUAGAAUCAAGCAAAACUCAAUAAAUGACUCUGUAGAGAGUCAAAAGCUGUUUUUAGCGAUAUUAUGCUUGUUUUGCAUUGUUUUGUAGCUAUUUUGAGGAUAUGAAGAAUGAAGUUGAAGAUAAAGGUCGUAGACUCAAGAAAAGAGAAGAAAAUUGAAGAUUUGAAGAGUUGACGCACCGCCCGGCGGCAACUUACACCGCUGGGCGGUCUAGGGCGAGGAGUAGGCACUGGCGUUGGCGCUGGGCGGUUUUGAGGGAAACUGUCGGGCGGUGACCCUUGUCGCCGGACGGUUUGUAGGUUUAUGCGAAACCGCCGGGUGACACACUUAUUCCGUCGGGCGGUGGUCCGCGGGGCUUUGGCCUGUUUUCUGUUGCGCUCCUCACCUAUAAAUACCCCUAUUUCGAAUUCAGAGUCAUUCUUUUGACAGGGGAGAACGACCAGACCUAAUUUUGCUCUCUGGAGAGGAUCUCUUGGAUGCUUAGGCUCCUUUUCAUCUUUUCUAGCUUUUGCUUUUCCAUUCUUUUGGUACUCUCUUUUAUUGAAACUCUUGAUUAUUUAUAUGGUUCCCAUAUGUUCUGAUUGUUAAUUAUUAGGUUCUCAUCUGUGCUUAAGGCCUUUAUCGUUUAACUCAUUCGAUAACUGUUGUUUGUCUUUAUUGAUACGGGGACGUAAAGUAAUGUCAUGAACUGGUGAGUAAUUCCUUGAUUUUGCAAUACCACCUAGGGAUAGGUGUAGGACGAUCAAUUACGUUUAACUUCUGCUCUUUAAGGCUGUAUUAAUUGCUAGGGGAGGUUAGGGAUAACAAGCCAAUAAUUAGUAUUAGGCUCUUUUCGCCGAGGGAUCGGGUUAAAGGUAGGCUAAGAAAGUUGCAUGACAAUUAAUUAGUCAAACUAAUAAUUCAAGAGGAGUAGAUAAGAGAGAGCGAAUAAUGAUGAAAUUGUAAAUCCCCAACAACUCCAUUCAUCCAUUGUUUUCUUCUUGUCAUUUGAAUCAAUCUCUUUUGCAUGUUAAUAUUUUUGUUCUCAAAUCAAAUUAAUUAUUUUUAUUUUCAAGUCUUAUUCUUUCAAUUCACGUGAACGAGAAAGCCUUUCGAGUCUCUUGGGAAGAACGAUAUUGUGUUUUACCAAUUAUAUUACUUGAACGAUUUGGUACGCUUGCCAAUCCGUCAACAAGUUUUUGGCGCCAUUGCCGGGGGACUCGAGGUUUAUUUUUCUAGUAGUGGGAAUUGAUUGAAUUUGACUUCAUUUUAUGUUUAUUUUCAUUUUUGUUCUUAUAAAUGUUUUCCAGGGUUUUGUGCUUAAUGUUUGUAGAAUGCAAUACGGACUAGGAUUUGAUUAUAUGGGCACGCAAUCCUACCAAAAUAGUUUCAAUCACUGGUGGGAACCUUACUCAUACAUGGAUCAAAGUCGAUAUGGACAAGUUGUUGACCCUCAUUUUAUGCCUAUACAAAGAAGUGCAGAAUCUGAGGAAAUUUUUCAGAGGAUUAUGAAUUUUGAACCAUACCAUGUCAAAAGCAUGGAGGAGAGGCAACAUUAUCAGUGGCAGCAACAAUUCUCUUCACCAAUUGAAACGUGGGAGUGUGGUCAACAACUUUGUCAACAGACAGCUGAUGUGACAGAACAAGUCAAAAGCUUGAAUGAAAAAUUCGACAAAUUUCUAGAGAGGUGUGAUUCCAAGAGAUAUGAAGUUACCUUCAGGAAUUUGGAUACACAAAUUGAUGAGGUUGUUGAUGAGGAGAAGGUGGAGAGAGAAGUGGAAAAGAUAGAAGAGGAGAAAAUAGAGGAAGAUGAAGUAGAAAGGUUGAGUGAGGAAGAGAAAGAUGAGAAGAAAGAAAAAGCAGUGGUUGAGAAAAAAGAAAAAAAUAAGAAAAUAAGAAAAAAGAAAAAAAGAAAGUGGAAGAAGGAGAAGGUUGAGAAAAAGAGGAAGAGAGGAAAGAAGAAAAGAUCACAUGAAAAACAUCUUCCUCAUAAAAAGAAAAAUAAUAGGAAGGGAAAUAAGUUCAAGUUGGCGAUCUUUAAGAAAUUGGAGAUUAAAGUUCCUAUGGUUGAAACAUGGAAACAGGUGCUUGGUGUUCUUAAUUUUAUGAAGAAAUUCAGCAGGAAGAAGAAAAAGAAAAGAAUAUCAAGAAAGGGGAGUAUCAACGCCUACUGAUGGGUGUUUGAACUCUACCAGGUCAAGCUAGUGACAUAAAAAGAGUGCUUGCUGGGAGGCAACCCAGUUUCUAAUUUUUUUUUUAUUUGAUUUGAUUUGAUUUUAUUUUAUUUUAUUCUAUUUUAUUUGAUUUUAUUUUAUUUGAUUAUAUUAGAUUUGAUUUGAUUUGAUUUUAUUUGAUUUGAUUUGAUUUGAUUUGAUUUGAUUUGGUUUGAUUUGAUUUAAUUUAAUUUAAUUUAAUUUAAUUUUAUCUUAUUUGAUUUGAUUUUAUUUUAUUUUAUUUGAUUUUAGUCUAUUUUAUUUUUAUUUUUUAUUUUUAUUUUUUGUUUUUUUAUUUUAUUUUAUUUUAUUUUAUUUUAUUUUUGGGUUAUGCGCUGCUUCUGAUGGCAGUAAUGAUUAACAUCUACUGAGGGAUGCUAAAAUUUUUGAAUCCACUGAAGGAUUCCAGGAAGGCACACCUACUGAUAGGUGUUGGAAGGUAUUGCACUUACUGACAAGUGCUAAACAGGUUUGGGUCAGGUUCGUGACGUUAAAAAAGCGCUACUAGGAGGCAACCUAGUUUUCUCUCUUUUACUUUUGCAUUUUAAAUUCUUAGAAUAGGUUGAAUUUUAAUUUCAGUGUGUACUCUUGGCUUUAAUACUUUUUCUGAAAAUAUUUGACUAACUGAUGUGCAUGAUGGAGUUUUUUGAUGAUUAUUUGAUGUGGGUGAGAAUUGAGUUGCAAUGCAUGUUGAUAUUCUGUGAAAUAGAUGUGUGAUGAAUUAUGAUUGUGGUUUUGAUGCUAAGCAGGAUGCAUGAUUGAAUUUUGUGUAAGGAAGCAUGUGUGUGAGAUUUUGAGCUCCAGAGUUUUUAUUGUUGUAUACAUUGCUCACAAGAACACAUGAAUGAUAUUGCUUUAAUCUUGAUGAUUGAUUUAUUUGCAUGUGAAUGUCAUAUGAUCAAGGCCAUUUUUGAGAACCCUUUUCUAGCCAAAUUUUCACCCAAAAUGCUUGAAAAUAUUAUACCAUUUUUGAACCUUAGCCUUAAACAGGAUAUGAACCCAUGUUUUGACAUUCUUUACCUUGAGUUGGGAUGAGCUUAAAUGUAUGCGAUGAAAAGGUUCAAGUUUGGGGUUGUAUGGGGGAAAAUUGAGAAAAGCAAAUGAAAAGCAUUGAGCUCGAAUGUUGUGAAAAGAAAAAUUCANGAGAAAAAGAAAAGAANAGAAGAAAAGCAUGAAGAGGAGCUCAAUGAAAAAGAAAAAGGGGAAAAAGUUGGGAAUAAGUGAGAUUGGUGAGGAAGAGAGUUGUGCUUAAAUUGUUGAAUAUUUUGAAAGCUCUCUUAACUCAAGGACUUUGUAUUCCGGAAAAACCAAUUUUUCUUGUUAGCCCAACCUCAUUACAAGGCUUGAAAAAGUCCUUUUGAUGGCAUUUGCAUGUAAAGAUGUUGAUUGUUUGAGAUGAAUGGCAAUUUUUUUUCAUGUGACUUGUGAACAAUAAAGAGUGGAGUGUCACCUUAAACACUUGAGUGAUUGAGUGAAACACUUGCUUGGUAUGAACUGUUAAUUUUCAUGAGUGCAUUUUUGCUUAGUGGAUUGGUCAUUCAUAAUGUGUAACAUCUGUUGUGCAAUCUCUGGAUUGAAAACAUGCACGCAUCUUAUUUUGGAUUUCACUGAGGAUAUUGAAUUGAGUAGUUUUGUCUUGUACUUUGGGAUUGUUGAAACAUUGGAUGGAAGAGGAUAAAGCCAAGUUUUGGUUUCUUUUGUUUUGUUUGCUUGAGGACAAGCAAAGUUCUAAGUUUGGGGUGUUGAUGAAGGUUGAAAAACAGUUAUUUUCAUAUGUCAUUUUAGACCUAAUUACNNNNNNNNNNNNNNNNNNNNNNNNNNNNNNNNNNNNNNNNNNNNNNNNNNNNNNNNNNNNNNNNNNNNNNNNNNNNNNNNNNNNNNNNNNNNNNNNNNNNNNNNNNNNNNNNNNNNNNNNNNNNNNNNNNNNNNNNNNNNNNNNNNNNNNNNNNNNNNNNNNNNNNNNNNNNNNNNNNNNNNNNNNNNNNNNNNNNNNNNNNNNNNNNNNNNNNNNNNNNNNNNNNNNNNNNNNNNNNNNNNNNNNNNNNNNNNNNNNNNNNNNNNNNNNNNNNNNNNNNNNNNNNNNNNNNNNNNNNNNNNNNNNNNNNNNNNNNNNNNNNNNNNNNNNNNNNNNNNNNNNNNNNNNNNNNNNNNNNNNNNNNNNNNNNNNNNNNNNNNNNNNNNNNNNNNNNNNNNNNNNNNNNNNNNNNNNNNNNNNNNNNNNNNNNNNNNNNNNNNNNNNNNNNNNNNNNNNNNNNNNNNNNNNNNNNNNNNNNNNNNNNNNNNNNNNNNNNNNNNNNNNNNNNNNNNNNNNNNNNNNNNNNNNNNNNNNNNNNNNNNNNNNNNNNNNNNNNNNNNNNNNNNNNNNNNNNNNNNNNNNNNNNNNNNNNNNNNNNNNNNNNNNNNNNNNNNNNNNNNNNNNNNNNNNNNNNNNNNNNNNNNNNNNNNNNNNNNNNNNNNNNNNNNNNNNNNNNNNNNNNNNNNNNNNNNNNNNNNNNNNNNNNNNNNNNNNNNNNNNNNNNNNNNNNNNNNNNNNNNNNNNNNNNNNNNNNNNNNNNNNNNNNNNNNNNNNNNNNNNNNNNNNNNNNNNNNNNNNNNNNNNNNNNNNNNNNNNNNNNNNNNNNNNNNNNNNNNNNNNNNNNNNNNNNNNNNNNNNNNNNNNNNNNNNNNNNNNNNNNNNNNNNNNNNNNNNNNNNNNNNNNNNNNNNNNNNNNNNNNNNNNNNNNNNNNNNNNNNNNNNNNNNNNNNNNNNNNNNNNNNNNNNNNNNNNNNNNNNNNNNNNNNNNNNNNNNNNNNNNNNNNNNNNNNNNNNNCAAUCUCUUUUGCAUGUUAAUAUUUUUGUUCUCAAAUCAAAUUAAUUAUUUUUAUUUUCAAGUCUUAUUAUUUUAAUUCACGUGAACGAGAAAGCCUUUCGAGUCUCUUGGGAAGAACGAUAUUGGGUUUUACCAAUUAUAUUACUUGAACAAUUUGGUACGCUUGCCAAUCCGUCAACAGCUUUGUUGGUCGAACCAAUAUAAAAUUUAGUGUUUGAUUUUUCUAUUCUUGCACUCUUUUAAUUCAGUCGACUAUAUUUGUCUAGUAGUCAACUACUUUUUUCUGCUGCAUUACAUUUUCAAUAACUUGCAUUUGAAGGAAAGAUCGAAAGCUUUGAACUUUCAUACUAAGAUUGCGAAAAGAUUUUAAAUUUGAACUAACACCAAUUCACCCCCGCUCUUGGUGUAAAACAAAGCCAACCUGUUUCCUAACAGAAAGAAGGUUGUUGUGGGUGUCAGUUUGGAGGUGAAAUUGGGUGUCGGUUUGAAAGAAGGGUACUCUACUUUAAGUCAUAAAGAAGCAAAGUUUUGUUGAUUUAGUUACUAUUUUAAUGACUCUGUUAGGUUCUGAAACUUUUCGUUGUGGUUUCUCAUACGAUGCCAAUGAAAUAUAUAUAUAUAUAUAUAUAUAUAUAUGCUUAUUUUCCUCUAUUUUCUUGUUUAGCAAUGGAAUUAGCUUUUUCUUUGGAGAAAUUGGUGUUGAUGCUUGAGGACAUCCUGUGAGGCUUUCAAACAACCAAAGGAAUCUGGAUGGCUAGAUGCAAUGGCAUAGAGCCUUGUACACUUGUUAUGGAUUUGGAGGGUACUGAUGGAAGAGAACGUGGAAAGGUGUUGUUUUUUGUGUUAUAUAUUAACUAAUGUUGCUUGUAGCAGUGGUCAAAAUUCAUUCUAUUGUCAACAUCCAAUUGCCAUUUGGAUUUAUUGUAAAUUGUUUUGAAAUUCAUAAAUUCCUGUUAUUCAAGACUUACUUUAACAUUCCUUUUCCUUUUGAUGGAUUAGGAACAUUUUACUUCCUAUGAUUAGUUCUUCUGGUUUAUUGAAAUUGUUUCUUUCUCAGGAUGACACUGCUUUUGAAAAGCAGAGUGCUUUACUUGCUCUUGCUGUAUCAGAUAUUGUGUUAAUAAACAUGUAAGUUUUUUCUUCGCCUUUUUAGUUCUCACACUUGUUACAUCUUGAAUACGGACCAGUUUCAGAAUCUUUUAAGUUUGUAAUGUAGUUCUAGUUCUUGUUUUAAUCUUUUUCCAUUUUGAAUCUUCUUUCUUUGUGCGAUUGAUUCCCCUCCUCUGCAAUGGUAGUGAAGGUGGUGCCAUGACAUUGGCCGUGAGCAAGCUGCAAAUAAGCAACUUUUAAAAACCAUCUUUCAAGCAUGUGUUGUUGUCCAAUGGACUCAAGCAAUUAUCUUGAAUCUUGAAACUUGUCAAAUUGUCAUUUACCAUCUACCUAACUGUUUGCUCAAUUUUGCUUUCAGGUCAUGAUGAGAUUUUUUAGUCCAUGAAAAACAACAUUGUUGAUUGUCAUACAUGAGAAAACAAGGGUUUGUAAUAAAUGUUUAUUGUCUUGUAAUAAUUGUUUGUUAUAUAUAUUUUUAUAUUUUAUUUUUUAAUUUUAAAUACUUCUAUUUGUUGUUGAUGUGGUUAACCUUUCUCUUCUAUAGACGCCACUUGAAAAUCUUUUGCAUUUAUUUAAAUUCAUUAACAAUUAUAAAAGGAUCUUAAUGCCUUGCAUUUAUUUAAGAUUUUCUAUUCCAUAGUGACAAGUCAGUUACGAAAUAAGAUUCAUAUCAACAUCUUGUUAUAGUGCUUCCCUAUGAAAAUAUGGAGUAUCAAGGAGAAGAAACUAGGAUUAUUCCAUCAAAAGCAAGUUUUUCUACGUGUUCACCAACAUUACAGGAGCUAAUUUCUAACGGGUAUGUAAUUUACCAGAUUCCCACAUUCCCAUUUUUCCUCAUCAUUAUCUUUAACAGAAAAAAUUGAGUAUGCAUAUAUAUAUAUAUAUAUAUAUAUAUAUAUAUAUAUAUAUAUAUAUAUAUAUGAUAUUCUAAGAAGAAAGAUUACAUCAUGGUUGAAGGUUAUUUUUGUCUACGCUGCAGUGUUUCCCUGCUUCCAAAGUAAAUGGUGUGUUUUGUUAAUUAAUUAAGACAAAAAAGGAUGUAGAUGAACUGUGUGUUUUUCCCAAAGCAAAUAGGUUGGAAGGGUACUGGAAGUAGUUUUCUUGGGUUGAUGCAGCUGUUGUUUGAUGUCCAUUUGACGCUAAAUUAUUGGUUGGGUGCAAGCUUUUAUUUUUUUUCUUCUUUGCUUAAUGAUGCAGUUUCAGGUUCAUUUAAAGCUAUGUUAAGUGUUGCAAAUGAUGAAAUUUGGAGGAAGGCUUGGUGUUCAAUACUUGGAUGCUGGUUCGUGGUCAACUAUUGCAGUAGCUUUAAUUCUUGCAUUUUUCAGCUAGAUUAAGGUUGAUGAGUUGAUAUUUUCUUGACUGUAUUUAGUUUAUUGCACUUUAAUAAAUCAGGGAAUUGUGUUUAAUUAUCCAUUAUUUCCCUGUUUUUCCUAAUUCUGCUUACUUUGGUCGGAAAUUCGUAUUUUCACUAAUUUGAAUUUUCUAAGCUGAUUAAUUGCAUUUUUGGUUGCAGGGAAAUUUUGGGAAACUUUAAUUAGGAUUUUGUGUAUUGGGCCCGUUUUAGUGACAAUAUUGUAGAAGCCCAAUGUGUAGGACACUUGGCAAAAGCCUUAGGGUUUCUUUUUUGGGUGGACCCCACCCAUUUUGAAGUGAUUCUCAACAUUUAGAGAGGAAAAGCCGACCACACACAUUUCUAAGCUCCAACAUUUCAUUUUGCAUGGUUUCCAUGAACUCUCUCUUGGGAGCUUGUAGGGUUUCGAUUUUUUUUAGCUAUGGAAUGACCAAGAAUUGAUUUUUCUUCUUCGUUUUCUUGCAACUUUACUUAUUCUUGCUUAAGGGAAGGGAGAUCUAUCACUCCUCUUCUUGCAUUUUCCAUUGAAUGUUGAAAGCUUGAGCUUGGAGGGUGGUUCUUUGCAUGUUCAUGGUGGUUCCUUGGGUUGAAUGAAGAGUCCUUUUGCGUUUUGCUUCUCCUUUGCUACCAUACUUUCGUGUUUCCUUUUAGUUUUCUUGGUUGGAUGAUGAAAAUGAAGUUCUUGUUGCGUUUUGUAGUGAAGAAAGCUUGAGUUGGCGUAUGGGUGUUUGAGGUUUGAAAUCUUUUCUUCUUCUGCUUUUGUUUGAUGGUUGGAAGACAUAUUUUGAGCUGGAACAUUGUGUUGCAUUACCAUGGCUGGACGGUCUGCACUUGCAAGCUAGGGAUUCCAUUUUGUUUUUAGCAAAAGUUUGAAGAAAAGUGAGUGUUGGGUUGGUUUGUAGAAGUUAGACUUUGGGUUUGUUGUUCUUGUAUUACUUUGCAAAUGGAAACUUGGUUUAAUAUGUGUAUGCACGGUGAUGAUAGGUGAAGAAAGAGUUUUGGUUGUUUGUUUUGGUGGAGGAAAACCGUUUGGUGUUGAAAAGGGAGAGAGAAGGUGCAUUUAAUUUUUUUACCACUUUAGGGCAAACAUAUGAGAUGCUUAUUUUCACUAAAGGAAUGUUUCCAUUUUGAGCUUUGUCUUUAGCUAGCAAUGUUGCCGAGAAUUCAUUGUUGUGGAGAAGCUUUUGGGGUUGUUUUCUUUCCUUUGACUUUGCUUACAUGGCACCUUGGUUGAAGCACUCAAAGUAUCUUUCAUUUAGCCUUUGGUUUUAAGCACUUUUUGCCACUUUCACUAGGUAAGUCUUGGCAUUUUGGCCUUGAGAAUGUGAGAGCCAAAUUUUGCUGCAUGGGAGGAGAGAAGGGACAAUUUUGUAGUGAUGUGGAAGGCACAUGUUGAUUUUCUUGGAGUAUGAAGCACAUGGGUCAAAAAGACAACAUAAUGAAUUGUUUAUUGAAGGAAGAAAGUCAAAUUAGAUGUUGGUGUGCAUGAGGUCACGACCAUGAAGGUUUUUUAGGCCAUUUUCAAUAGCAAAUUCUUUUGGUAAAUGGGAUAGGUCACGUGAAUAGUAGAGUAUCGCGUAAGACUUGAGAAGNGAAUAAAUUUGGUGGUUAUAUGCAAAGAACAAAAAUAAACAUGCAAUGCANUUGAUGCAAUUGGUUUUGAGAAACUAUGNAUGAAUGGUGUUGUUGGGGUUUACAAUUUCAUCUUAUCCACUCUCAUAUAUCUACUCUUCUUAUUUACUUCACUUAUUUAUCUAAUUGCCAUGCACACUUUCUUAUUUACCCUUAACCCAAUCCCUUGGUGAAAAGAGCCUAUUAUUAAUUACCGGCUUGCUAUCCCUAGCCUCCCCUAGUAACCAAUAAUGUAAUUCGAUCAGAAGCAACUACAAUUGACCGUCCUACCCCUAUCCCUAGGCGAUAUUCGCAUAAUCAAGGAAUUUCCCACCAGUUCAUGACCUUACCGUAUGUCCCCAUAUCGAUAAAGACAAACAUCUUUUACUCAAUGAGUUAAACCGUAAAAGCAUUGAGCACAGAUGUCCCCUUGUAAUUCGCACUGGGGCUAUAUAUAAGCCCAAAAAGAUAAUAGAUAGAUUACAGAAAGAUUUACAGAAUCUAGCUAAAAAAACAAACAACCGCCCAGGCACCUAAAUUCACCGCUCAACGGUUUGCCUUGUGCCGCUUUGACCGCUCAGUGGUCAGUUUUGCCGCUAAGCGGUUUCCCUCUAAUUGCUCUAAGUGCUUAGCGGACCAUUCUGGCGCUCAGCGGCUUGCUUGACCCUUCUUUUCAUUAUUUUUCUCCUUCUUUCAUGGGUCUAAGUCCACCUUACUUCACUUCCAUCUUUAAUUCAUCUAAAAACCCUGCAAAACAAGCAUAAUAUCUCUAAAACCAACUUUUGACUCUCACAAGACACAACUAAGUGUUUUGCUUGAUUUAAAGCUCAUUCUAAGUCACAAAGGGUGUUUUACUAUCAAAUUUAAGCAUGAAAGUAACGAUUUUUAGACCGUUAUCAUAACCCCAAACUUAGAACUUGGCUUGUCCUCAAGCAAACAAGACAAAACUUGGCUUUCCACUUCUUCAUCAAAUAAUUCACACUUUUCAAAACUCCUUUUUCUCAUGACAAGUUAUUAGACAAUUUCAAAUUUCAGUGGAAUCCUAUAAAGAUGCAUGCAUGCUUUCAAUCCAGCUUAAUUCACAUAUUCAAUCUUGUUCCAACAGAUGUUUCAUUCAUGAAUGAUUAAUCAACUAAACAUAGAUGUUAACAUGGAUUUAACAAUUCUCACCAAGCAAGUAUUUCACUCAAUCACUCAAGUGUUUAGGAGGUCACUCUACUCUGUACUGUUCACAUGUCACAUAAAACAAUAUUGUCAUUCAUCUAAAACAAUUAACAUCUUCACAUGCAAAUGUCAUCACAAGGACUUUUUCCAAGGCUUGUAUUGUGGCUGGGCUAUCAAGAAAAUUGGUUUUUCUGGAAUACAAAAUCCUUGAGUUAAGAGAGUUUAAAUCAUUAGUCAAAGUUCAAGUACACCCUCCUUUUAACCAAUCUCACUCAUUCCCAACUUUUUCCCUUUUUCAUUUUACAUCGAUUUCUUCUUUACAUGCUUUUUCUCUUUUCUUCUUUUCUUUUCUUUUCCUUUCACAUGCAUUUUUCUUUUUCAUCUUUUGAACUCAAUGCUUUUCUUUUUCUUUUUCCUUUCACUUUCCCCAUUCAACCCCAAACUUGAACCUUUUCAACACAUAUAAUUAUUCUCAACCCUAACUCAAGGUAAAUCAAUUCAAACAAGGGUUUUUAUACUGUUUAAGGUCAAGGUUCAAAAAGGGUAUAUCAUUUAAAAUUCUUUGGGUGAAAAUUUGGCUAAGUAAGAGUUUUCCAAGCAUGGCCUUGAUCAUAUGACAUAGACAUGCAAUUCAAUCAAUUAUCAAGAUUAAGUCAAUACCAUUCAUGAUUCCCUGUAAACAGUGCACACAACAAUAAAACCCUGAAACUCAAUACCUCACAUAAUCAUGCUUUCUCACUUCUCACAUGAAUCCUGCUUAGCAUCAAAAUCACAAUCAUGAAUCACUUACUCAUCAUCAACCUGGAUAUCAACAUUCACACAUUCUCAAUCAUCAUCCACAGUCAAUCAUCAAUAGUAAACAACUAAUCAUGCAAUAAAAUUGAACCAUCAUCAGGAUCAGUGUACAAGCCAAGCAUAGACACAAGAAUAAAACCUAUACUAUUAAUUUAAAGUACAAGAGAAAAAGAAAAAUCUUGUUCUAGUGCAGAUAACAUCUAUCAGUAGAUGUUAUCUCAUGAUCUUCCUCCAUGGUUGGAGCUUCAGCUGCUCCAACUCUGAUUCCUUCCUCUUGUUUCCCAUAGUCUUGAUCCUUUUUUCUGAUGAGGAGAUCCUGCCUGCAUCAAGUACAAUUCACAAAACCACAAGAAAUCUCAUUACGCAUUAGUAGAAUACAAAAGUUCUUUCAAAGAAUGUGGAGGAAUCAACCCCAAAUAGUUGGGCUCUAAAAUAACCCUAAACUUGGAUGAAAAAGUGAUAAAAUGUGGGUUUUCAAGAGAGAGGAUGAUAGGCGAAGUGUUGGGAAAUCUUUGAAAGAAUGUUUGAAAGUGAAAGAGAGGUUAUGGGUCUAUUAGAGAGUGCUUGGGCGAACCCUAAGGGGUAGAAAAAUCAGAUAAUCUUUUAAAAAUGCUUGUACCCCCAACGACGCCACCGCUCAGCGGUGCGCGGUUUACACCCCUCCUUUUUUUUUCUUCUUUUUAAAACAUUUUAACCCUUUAAACCUUCAAUUUCAACUUUCAAAAUUUAAUUUUUAUGCAAUUCCCAAUCACUUAUCUCACAUAUGCGACUAGAACGAGAAUUAAAACAUGCAAAAUAAAUCAAUCAACUGGGUUGCCUCCCAGGUAGUGCUUGUUUAAUGUCACGAGCCUGACCCAAACCUUCCUAGGACCCAUCAGUAGGUGCAAAUCUUACCGUCACCCAUCAAUAGGUUUACCUUCCUGUAUCCUUUAGCAGAUACCUAAAUCUUCUAGCAUCCAUCAGUAGAUGCUAUCAUCACUGCCAUCAGAAGUAGCAUAUAACCUAAACAAAACUUAGACACACAAAUAAUCAUAAAGAAAAAGUUAGAAAAUGGGUUGCCUCCUAAAGCUCUUUUUUAACGUCAUUAGCUUGACCCGGUAAAGCCCAAACACCCAUCAGUAGGUGUUGAUCCUCUUUGUUUGAUAUUCUUUUCUUUUUCUUCAGAAAAUUGAGAACAUCAAGCACCUAUUUCCAUAUAUCAAUCAUAGGAACUUUAAUCUCCAAUUUAUUGAAGAUCUCCAUAAAGCACUUGACCUUAUUUUCCUUCCUAUGAUAUUUUUUUGAAUGAGGAAUGGGUUUUUCAUAUGAUCCCUUCUUCUUUCCUCUCUUCCUCUUUUUCUUUGAAUGAGGAAUGGGUUUUUCAUAUGAUCUUUUCUUCUUUCCUCUCUUCCUCUUUUUCUCACUUUUCUCCCUCAACUUUCUCUUUUUCAUUUUUCUUUCUUUCUUUAUUUUCACAAUUUUUCUCUUUUUUUCUUUUCUCUCAACUACUGCCUUUUCUCCCUCAUCAUCAUUAUCUUCCUUAACCAACUUUUCUGUUUCUUCUUCCUUUAAAUUUCUCUAUAUCUUUUCUUCCUCAAUCUUUUCCUCCUUUUUCUUCAAUUUUUUCUCCUCUAUCUUCUCCUCCUUUCUCUCCAUGCUUUUCUCCUUUAUUUUCUCCUCAUAUAUCUCUAUCUUUUCCUCCUCUAUCUUUUCCUUAUUUCUCUCCAAUUUUUUCUCCCCUAUCUUCUCCUCAUUUAUGUCUAUAUCUUUUUCCACUAUCUUCUUCCUUGAAAUUUCUCUAUAUCUUUUCUUCCUCAAUCUUCUCCUCCUUUUUCUCCAAUUUUUUCUCCUUUAUCUUCUCUUCAUAAAUGUGUAUCUAUUUUUCCCCUAUCUUCUCCUUACAACAACCUUUUCUGUUUCUAUCUCUUCUAUCCUUUUCACCUCUCUCUCCCUCUCUAUCUUUUCCCCAUCAACAACCUCAUCAAUUGAUGUCUCCAAAUUGCUGAAGGUAACUUCAUAGCUCUUGGAAUCGUACUUCUCUAGAAAUUUGUCAAAAUUUUCUUUAGAUCUUUUGAGUUGUUCUCCCAAAUCAGCUAUCUUUUGUCAUAGUUGUUGAUCAUACUCCCACAUGUCUAUUGGUAAAAAGGUUUGUUGUUGCCUCUCUUCCAUGCUUCUAUGAGAAGAAAAUCUUGUAUACAUGUCCUGCGAAACAAAUUCGUCAUUCUUUGUAUUCUCCUCUAUGCUUUUGACAUGGCAUACUCCCGAAUUUAUGACCCUCUGAAAAAGUUCAUCAGACUCUGCACUACUCUUAAUCGGAGUAAAUUAUGGCUCAACAGAUUGCCCAAAUUGGCUUUGAUCCAUGUAUGAGUGAGGUUCCCACCAGGGGUUGAAAUUAUUUUGGUAGAAUUGAGUAUCCAUAUAAUCAAAUUCUUGUCCAUACUGCAUCUUGCAAACAUUAGGCACAAAAUCCUAGUAGCACUUUUUUUUUAUAAAAAGAAAAAAAAUAAAAAGAUAAAAAGAUAAAAUAGAUAUAUACAAUCAAGUCAAACUUAAUCAGUUUACACUACUAGAUAAGUUAAACCACGAGUCCCCGGCAACGGUGCCAAAAACUUGUUAAGUCCCUGGCAAGUGUACCAGAUCGUUAUCAAGUAAUAUAAACGGGUAAGUCUGAGUAUCGUUUUCCCAAAGGACUCUUAGGCCUUAACUUUCAUGUAACCUAAUCGCGUAAGACUUGAGAAGAGGAUAAAUUUGGUGGUUAUAUGCAAAGAACAAAAAUAAGCAUGCAAUGCAGUUGAUUCAUUGGUUUUGAGAAACUAUGNAUGAAUGGUGUUGUUGGGGUUUACAAUUUCAUCUUAUCCACUCUCAUAUAUCUACUCUUCUUAUUUACUUCACUUAUUUAUCUAAUUGCCANGCACACUUUCUUAUUUACCCUUAACCCAAUCCCUUGGUGAAAAGAGCCUAUUAUUAAUUACCGGCUUGCUAUCCCUAGCCUCCUCUAGUAACCAAUAAUGCAAUGCGAUCGGAAGCAACUACAAUUGACUGUCCUACCCCUAUCCCUAGGCGAUAUUGGCAUAAUCAAGGAAUUUCCCACCAGUUCAUGACAUUACCGUACGUCCCCAUAUCGAUAAAGACAAACAUCUUUUACUGAAUGAGUUAAACAAUAAAAGCAUUGAGCACAAAUGAGAACCCAAUAAUUGAUAAAUAAGUAUAUGACAAGCAUAUGAAAUAAAUAAAAAUUUGAAUAUAUGAGAGUUUCAAAAGAUUACAUUGUUCCCCAACAACAAAGGGUUUAGUUCACCAUAAUCAUGGUGAAACUAGAUUAAAAUAAUGAAAGAAUGGAAGAAAUAACCCUAAACUUGGUUGAAUGGGGCCUAAGCAUCCAAGGAACCCCCUCCAAGGUGUGGAGUAGCUCUGGAUGUUUCUCUCUGCCAAAAGAAUACCCUUCUAAUUCGCACUGGGGCUAUAUAUAAGCCCAAAAAGAUAACAGAUAGAUUACAGAAAGAUAUACAGAAUCUAGCUAAAAAAAUAGACAACCGCCCAGGCGCCUAAAUUCACCGCUCAGCGGCAAAACUGACCAUUCUGGCGCUCAGCGGCUUGCUUGACCAUUCUUUUCAUUAUUUUUCUCCUUCUUUCAUGGGUCUAAGUCCACCUUACUUCACUUUCAUCUUUAAUUCAUCUAAAAACCUUGCAAAACAAGCAUAAUAUCUCUAAAACCAACUUUUGACUCUCACAAGACACAAUUAAGUGUUUUGCUUGAUUUAAAGCUCAUUCUAAGCCACACAGGGUGUGUUUUACUAUCAAAUUUAAGCAUGAAAAUAAUGGUUUUUAGACUGUUAUCACACAGGGAACGCGAGCUUCUCCUAUUCACGAGACCAAGCAAGGGAACUUGAACUAUAGCUAUUGAGAACUUCCUUUGACAAACAGUAUUAUGCAAGAGCUUCUGUUCAACAACGUUACUUCUGAAAUUUUCAGAAGUGAAUUAUAUAGCCAGAUACUCUGAAUAUCAAAGGUCAAGUCCCAACUGCCACUAAUAAUCGAUUAUUCAAGUCUGUUACAGGUUUUUUCAAAAUAUGAGAAUCGAUUAUGUGAGGUGAUAAUCAAUUACUCCUGAAAGAUUCUUGAUAGUCGAUUAUUGCUUAAUAUAAUUGAUUAUUUCAGUACAAAAUAUAAUUUUUACAAGAUUUGAAGACUUUCCUAUUACACUUAUUUUCUACAAAGUGGUUUUAAACAUUUCUAAUACUUUCUUAAGGUAAAAAUUCUUGUAGCAUCAUCAAAACUAAUUUCUUCAAUAUUUACCAAUGCUCCUCAUUGGUAACAUAUAGCGCAUUUGCUUCCUGGGUUGGAAGGACACUGGAUGUAAGCAUUAUUGGCCGAACCAAUAUAAAAACCAGUGUUUGAUUUUCUUUAUCCCUGCACUCUUUAUUUCUAGUCGAUUUUAUCUGUUUAGCAGUCAACUACGUUUUUUCGCUGCAUAGAAAUUUCAUUGCUUGCAUUUCAAGAAAGAUAAAAAAGCUUUGCAUUUUUGUUUAAAGAUUGCGAAAAGAUUUUGUUUUUGAACUAACACCAAUUCACCCCCCCUCUUGGUGUAAAAUGAAGCCUAUCUGUUUCAUAACAUGUUAUGUUUAAUUUAAUGUUUUAGUUUAGUUCAAUUGCAUUCACAAACUCUUCACAACCCACCCCCCCACUAUGUGUUUGACCUGAUUCUUGAUCCAUGGUUUGGUCCUUGAGAGACGACCUAGGAGUCAAUUCCUUAUAUUGCAUUUUUAAUUCACAUCAAAUUUGUAUGGGGUGCGACACCCAUCAAAUUUUGGCACUGAUGUCAGGGACCAACGGUUCGGUUUUACGUCUUUUGUUGUGUUAGUGUGUGUUGUGUUUUGUUUGUGUUGUGAUUGUGAUGUUCUGUUUUGUGUGUGCGUUAUUGUGUGUGCGUGUCACAUGUUUAUUUGUAUUGUGUUUUGUGUGUUUCGUAAAAUCUAGCAUUUCCUUUCUUCCUUCCCCCUUGUUUCACUAUGUCUGCCUAUUUUGAUUAUGAUCAUACUGCUUUUUCUGCCUGCGCCUAUGACUGUGAUACUCCUUUUCGAUCUAACUCUAAGUAUGGUUCUCAUGUGUACUCUGCUGAUUUCUAUGUUGAGAAAAGUAUGAUUCCUUCUCCAUCUCAUGAGUGUGCUCCUUGGUAUCCGUUUCCACUUGAUGAGGAGGAUAUUCAUUGUGUUUUCAACACUAGACUGAUACAUUGGCUGCCUAUGUUUCAUGGUUUUGUAGGUGAAUGCCCACAUAGACAAUUGGAGGAGUUCUACAUCAUUUGCUCUUCAAUGAAACCUGCAGAUGUCCUGGAUGAGGACAUUUUCUUAAGGGCAUUUCAACACUCAUUACAAGGAGUAGCAGAGGAUUGAUGUUAUUGUCUUAUUCCAGGAUCUGUCACCAGUUGGGAAGAUCUUGACCAUCAAUUUCUAGACGAAUUCUCCCUUGUGCAGUAUGGUUACAACUGUUAGAAUCGCUGCAACGGAAUUAUUAGCGUUGAACAAACCAAGAGGGGGGGUGAAUUAGUUAUAUUCUUUUAUCGUGCCUUUUAUUAUUUUUCUCUUAAUUUUUCUUACUGAGCUGAUAAUUAAAUAUAAGUAAGAGAUUAAGGGAAAGAGAAAAAUGCACAGGUGAUUUUAUCCUGGUUCAGAUCACAAGGAUCCUACGUCCAGUCGCUUAUCUCUAACAAGAUAAACCUUUUUCACUAUCACAAAACAAUUACAAAUAUUAGUCACAAAGAAGAAAUUAAAGGCACACGUUUAUAUUAAAACCCCUCUUGGUUUGUUAUUCCACGCUAACAAUUCCGCUGCAGCCGAUUCUAACAAAAAUGAGUUCCUACACCAUAGUUGCCCUUUGUGUGCAAAAACUGUACCAGAAGUACCCACUUAUUUUGGCUUUGGUACCAGUUAUGUUCCUGCACCAUGACUUUUACUAAAUAGGAUUCCUUUGCCACCAAUUUCUUCAUAAAUUAUAUAAUAAUUUGCUCCAAAUUACUUAUAAGUGGAAAAAAUUAUUGCAAAGAAAUUAGGAACUUCAAAAUGAGUUUCAUGUUCAUAAUUGACCUUCGUGUGCAAAAACUUAACUUGAAUUACCCACUUAUUUUUCCUUUGGUACCGGUUAUGUUCUUGCACCAUGACUUUUGUUUGUUGUUCUUAAACCAACCUUUAAUCAACCUUUAAUGAACUCUCGAUGGGUGGCACAUAGUAAGGUGUGUGGGUGGGAGGAACACUCACGAAAACACCUCUUUUUCGAUUGCUGUUGCAAUCAAAGUUUCCAACGACAUCUGUCACCGAAACAGACAAAAAUUCGUAAGGCGGCACUCUGGCAGACAACGAAAAUGGGUGGGUGGGAGGCACACUUGCGAACACUCUCUCUCUAGGUUUCGUUCACUCUGACGGCAAUGGGUGACUGGGUGAAGGGAAGAGGAGAAUCUCUCUAGGUUUCGAGCACUCCGACGGCGAUAAUAGGUGGCUGGGUGGAGGAGAGACUCUCUCUAGGUUUCGCGUUCUCGGAUUUUCUCUCGAAACUUUCUCAGAUUUGAAAUCUGAAAAGAGAAGAUGAUCCCAAAACUUGAAACUUUGUCCCAAAUUCCAUUGCCACGUAAUUCUCAACUUUAAAAAAUAAUUUCCAUGUGCACCAUUCAGAUUUUGACAGGUGGACCAUAUCUAAAUGUUGUCAAAUGUUAUUUUUCAAAUAUUAUUAUCCAAGAAAAUUGGAGGCAUCUCUACUAUAUUACUUCACACAUGUCCAACUAAAAUUGUAAAGUUUGAGUUUAAAUAAGUUUUAUAGUUUUCAUAACUUUUGGUGCUUCCAAAUUUUGAUACCUACUAUUUACUAAAUACGUUAAUUGGACCCUGAAAAUAAUUUUAUACGACUGUAUACGAAUUUUUUUUGUGACAGGUAAAAUAAAUUUAUUAUUACAGGUAUUCAGAUCAUAUUUGUGGGAAUUAUAGAAAAUUUUCUCUUUUUAUAAUGCCGUAAAAAGUUAUCAUAAUAAAUUUGGUUUAUUGUGAUAAGUAUAUAAGUAACAAUUAUAAUAAAUCUAAUUUACUAUCACGCAUGUUUAAAAAUAUGUUAUAAUAAGUUUAGCUUAUGAUACAUUUUUGAAAAACCUGUGAUAGUAUGUCUAGUUUACUGUAAUACAUUUUCCAAUUACCUGUAAUAAUAAUUAACAUAUUUUAAAUGACAUAAGGAAACAUUGUUAAUUGCAUAAUUUACUUUCUUAAUUAACAUAAUUGAUUGACAUUUUACUAAGAACCUUUAGAAUUAUUUUUUUCACCUUAAAAGAAAACAUAGUAAUUAAGCAAACCAAAUAUGUUGAGCAUUAUACUGAUGAAAUUUAGAUUCUUUUGUUUUAUGUGUGCAGGAAGAUAUAUACAGCCAAGAUUAAAAAUAAAUGUUCAGCACAUCCAAAUUUGUUCCAGUAAUUUGGAAUAGAAGCUUAUAAAUAAUUUCUUUAACACCUUAACAAAAUAAAGAAUUAGAAGAACAAAAUAUUAACACCUUUGAUGAUAAUUUUAAGAAUAUAAAGAGGUAACGAAAAAUAUAGAAAAAAAACUUUAUAAUAGAAAUCUUCCUAAUAAUAGAUAACUUUUUUAGUUUUAAAAUGGGCUAGAAUUCAAUAAAUUUAAUAACAUAUUUUAGUUUUAAUAAAAGUAUUAACAAAAGAUCUAUUGAUUUUUGAAAAAUAAUUAAUGGUCCCUAUUUUCGUCACAUGCGUUCGUUUUGAUCUUUUAUUUUUUUGUUCAAUGUUGUCUUAAAGAAUGUAAAUUUCGUUUAAUUUGGUCAUUUUUGCAAACGUCGUUUAAAUCGUUAACGACAGACAGUCUAGUUGUGCACAACGUGUUGAUGUGGCAUUUAACUGCCCACGUGGACUCCUUCAGCCACAUUGAGGUGGAUUUUGAAAGAAAUGUAGUUUAUUUAAUGGAACCCAAAUUUUGACGAGGGUGGAGAGUGAAAUUAGGGUUAGGGUUUUUUACUUUACUUCAGUGAAAGCGAAAGUGAGGUUCGUGGUUAAGCAAUCUUGUUUCAAAUCUUGGUGGUUGAUGAGCCAUGCCUCCUUCCCAAUCUUCUUGUUGUUGUUGCAAUAGCUUUGACCAUCGAAGUUCUAAUUCAUCACUUGGUGGCACUAGUGCAAAAACGUUGUUUAACGUCACCCCUUAGACGUCCGUUUCGUGAAAAUCCGACGUCUACUAUUGCACGGUGGCAUUAUUGUAAAUAAAUUGGAAAACUAGACGUCAUUUUCGAUGUCAGGCAACGUCUAUGACAUCAUAGACGUCAGACCUGCCACAAACUGACGUCCAAUUGCCUGAGGUAUGUGAUAAGACAGUCCAUUGACGUCGGUGAUUCAGGGGACCGACGUCUACUAGGUUGUAAUUAAUGCUAAACAUCAAAUCCCAGGAGCUUAGACGUCGGCUAGAAAGGGCACUGACGUCUACGUCACUGACAGGAAAUCAAACGUCAACCGGUUCAGCUUUAAACGUCAAAUAGACGUCGGAUCCCGUGAAAAAGCAACGUGGAUUGGGCUACAAUUAAUGUUGUUCACCUAAUACCCCAGGCAAUUAUGUUAGAAUCGGCUGCAGCGGAAUUGUUAGUGUGGAAUAACAAACCAAGAGGGUUUUUAAAACAAACGCGUGCCUUUUAAUUUCUACUCAAUUUAACUUACUACGCAAAUAAUAAAUAUAAAUAAAAGAGUAAGGUUGAGAGAAAUUUGCACAGAUAAUUUUAUACUGGUUCGGAUCUNCUCAAUACCCUUCCAUUCUUCGAAAACAGGCCAUCUAACGCUUUUAAUCGAUUAACAUAAGUAUUAAUCGAUUAAAAUGAGUACAACGACUAGUUUUUCAAAUCUGAAACACCCAACGGCUAGUGUUAAUCGAUUAUUCUCAGGAUUAAUCGAUUAACUAAUCGAUUAAAAUUCACUUUAAUCGAUUAUUCCAGGGGCAAUUGGGUUUUCAGUGCUGGCCACAUUUUAAUCGAUUAAAACUUGGUUUAAUCGAUUAAAACAGCUUGUGGAAGAUUCCCAAUAAAGAUAAAUUACAUAUAAACCACAAGAAUCAACCCUAUUACAUUUUAGAGCACUAUUACAUCAUUUUUUAUUAUUAACAAAGCUUUAUAAAAUGCGGAGAUCUUCAAUCCUUCUUUGUGAAUAUUGUCUUGUGCAAAUCUGUUCAUCAUCAAAACUUCAUCUUUUAAUUUUGCUAACACUUGGUGUGCUGAGAAAGCACAAGAAGGCCAUUGGUUGGAGUUUGGUUGACAUACCUGGUAUUAGCCCAUCCACAUGCAUGCAUAGGAUUCUUUUAGAGGAUGGAGCAAAGCCAGUUAGGCAGCCACAGAGACGGCAAAACCCUAUGACUAUGGAUGUCAUCAAGAAGGAGGUGACCAAGCUGUUGAAAGAUGGGACUAUCUAUCCAAUAUCAGAUAGUCAAUGGGUGAGCCCCAUCCAUGUUGUGCCCAAAAAGGCUGACCUCACAGUCCAAAAUUGGCAACUGCCACCAUGAUUAGGGGAGUUUUCUUUUCCCUUCUCCUCACUUUCCCGCUUUUAUUGCACUUGUCCAUGAUCUGUUGAUUGUUCUGAUUCCUGAUCUGAUGAUUGUGACACACUGAGGACAUUCUGUAGUUUAAGUGUGGUCUAUUGGGGAAGACUCUGAUUUUUCUUUGAUUAGUUUAUGUUUUUUGUGUUCAAUUUUUUGUUUUCUAGGUAGUUUUUGUUUUGUUUUGUGUACAAUUUUGUAUGUUUAUCUUAGUUUCUGGACUUUGUUUAGGUUGUCAGUUUUUCCUUCACUUCAUUGAUACUCUGAUUGCUUUGAAAUCCAAGUUUUUCUCUGCUUGGAAAGAAGAUUAUGAUGUUUGAGGUUGAAUUGAUUGUGACAAAAAUACCCUGUGUGAGACUUGAGCCAUUUGAUGAUCUUUCUUGUGUGUGAUAUGUCUCUUUAUUGCUUGCACUUAUGCCUUGGCUUGACACUUUUUGAUGAUUCUUGAUUGAUAUGCAUGUUUGAAAGUGAUAAAGGCAGCUUUGUUGUUGAGCCCUUCUAGCCAAAUGAGCCUAUCCUAUUUUGAUCCAUUGAUGACCCCUUUUGAGCCUAUGCUUUCCCCAUUUCUUUGUUUUGGAGCUUAUACACUAGCCCUAAGUGAAAAAACAUGUUUACCUUAACCGUAGGGAAUUUUGGAGCUUUGGAAUUGUUUUAGGAAUAAGUGUGGUCUCCUGGGAGAUUAUGAUGAAUUGGCUAGUUAGUUCCUCUUAGAGUUAUGUCCAAUAUUGAGAGAAAAGAAAAGAGACAAGAUGAAAAAAAAUAAAUAAAAAAGAAAUAAAUAAAAAAAAAUACAGAAAAAUGAGAAAAAUUAAAAAAAAAUGUGUGAAUGAUGGAGUCAAGAAGAGGAUUAAAUUAGAGGUUUUGGGUGUGAUUUGAAUGUGUUUACAAUUGUUCCCCAUUGCUCCUCCAUUCCUUUUGGUUUGUAGCUUCUCAUCCAUAUGUAUCCUUCCUUGUCCUUGGCCCCAUUACAUCCAUAAAAGACCUUUUGACUUGAACAUGCAUAUGUUUUUGAGUGUUGAUAUUAGAGGCUUGCCAAGUCUAUUUGUGUUUGCUUUCUUGAGUGCAUUGAGUUGAAACUGUUUACCCUAGACACUUGAGAGAAACACUGAUAGUGCAUUUCUGAGGCUCUGUUGCUUUUGAUUCAUCUCUUGAACUGAUUGACUGUUUUCCAUGUUCUGAAUUGCUUGGAUGAUUAUGUGAGUAUUUGCUUUCGUUGACUCUGUGUGGGAUUCUGUCUAUUCUUUUCAUUGUCUAGAUUUCUGGAGAUUUGUGUGAUUCUGUUUUUGUCCUUGUGAGUCUUAGUUGUAUGUAUGUUGAGUCUGUCACCUCCCUGAUGUCCUCUGAUUUGUUCCCUGAUUUGCGUCUUGAUUUUGCCAAGGAGUGCAAAGGACUAAGUGUGGUCUAUUUUGCUAAGUUGAUAUUUUCUUUAUUGUAUUUAGUUUAUUGCACUUAAAUAAAUCAGGGAAUUGUGUUUAAUUGUCCGUUAUUUCCCCGUUUUUCCUAAUUCUGCUUAAUUUGGUAAGAAAUUCGUAUUUUCACUAAUUUGAAUUUUCUAAGCUGGUUAAUUGCAUUUUUGGUUGUAGCGAAAUUUUGGGAAACAUCAUUUGGAGCAUUAGGAUGGUGGCGUGCACAUUAAAGACUCAACAUUUAGUCAUUUCAAUUUUAAUAAAAGUUGUAACUUAGUUUUCUAGAUUUUGUGUAUUGGGCCCUUUUUGUGGCAAAAAUUUGUAGAAGCCCAUUUUUUGUAGGAUAUGUGGCUUUAGGUUAGGGUUUCUUUUUGAAGGUGGACCCCACCAUUUGAGUGAACUCUCGGCAUUUUGAAGCUAGAGACCGAACAUUCUCUUCAAGCACACUUUACACUUCAUUUUGGCUAGGUUUUGAACACUCUCAUGGAGAGCUUUGGUGUUUUCACGGUUUUGAACCAUUGAAUGAACAAAGAUGCAAUUUUCUUCUUUUCUUGCUUGAAUCUUGGUUGCCUUUGCUUGGUGGUGGUGAAAAACCGUCCCAUUUUCUCUUUUAUUUCUUGUUCCUUGAAGUUGGAAGUAUGAGCUUGAAGGUUUCUUCUUGCAUUUUCAUGGUGGGUCUUUGGUUUGCAUGAAGAGCUAUUUUCGUUUUCCUUCUCCUUUGCUACCAUAUUUUCGUGUUUCCUUUUAGUUUCCUUGGUUGGAUGAUGAAAAUGAAGUUCUUGUUGAGUUUUGUAGUGAAGAAAGCUUGAGUUGGUGUAUGGGUGUUUGGGGUUUGAACUAUUUUCUUCUUGUGCUUUUGUUUUGAUGGUUGGAAGUAAAUUACGAGCUGGAACAUUGUGUUUGUUCAUGAUAGCUGGAAGUUUUUGCAAGGGAAGCUAGGGAUUGGAUUUUGUUUUCAUCAAAAGUUUGAAGAAAAGAGAGUUUGAAGUUGGUUUGGAGAAGGUAGACUUUGGGUUGUUGCUCUUGAAUUAUUUUGCAAUUGAACUUUGGGUUUCUUAGGGUUCAUUCUCGGUAUUGAGAGGUGAAGGAAAGCAUUUGAAUGUUUGUGAUGGUGGAGAAACCGAAAUUGAGGUUGGAAGUGAGAGAAAAAGGUGCAUUUAAUUUUUUACCUUAUUUGGGCAAGCACAUGACAGGUUCAUUUUCAUAGAAAGAAGAUUUCCAUUUUGGUCGUUGUCUUUUGUGUUUUGUGUUUUUAUUUCCUUUGACCUUGCUUAUGUUGCACAUUGGUAGAAUAAUUUAAGCACCUUUGUGACUUGUGGAGUUUGGACAGUAACAUUUGCAACAUGUGAGGAGUGUGAGUACGGCAAUUUUGGGUCUUGGAGUGUGGAGUCCGAAUUUUGCUACAUGGGAAGAGAGAAGGGAUGUUUCCAUUGGGAUUGUUGAAGACACAUUUUAAUUUCCUUGGAGAAUGGUGGACAUGGGACAAGAAGUCAACACAUUUUGUGGCUUAUUGAAGGAAGAAAGUAGAAUUGGACAUUGGUUGCAUGAACUCACGACCAAGAGGUGUUCUUAGGCCAUUUUCAUUUUCAAUUUCUUUAGUAGAUGCACAUUGGGUCACGUGAGUUACUAGGAAAAAGUUAUAUUAGUUUAUUUCUUUUGUUUUGAAUUAAUUUGCAUAGUAGGAUUAGUUGCUUUUUAGUUUCUCUAAUUUAGUUUUGCAUUUAACUUAAUUUAACUUUGUUGGUUAGUUGUUUAUAAUAGUGUUGGUGUCUAGUAUUUUAUUUUAUUUUGUCUUAAUGUUGUCUUGUAUUUGUGGUAGAGAUAAUUUAGUUGUCAUGCUAGCUUAAAUUAAUUUGGUUGGUCGUUAACGAUAUUGCACUGUUUCCUUGAGAUUCCUGGACUGUGAUUGUGAUUGCCACUCUGACUUGGUUAAUAUCAAAUCUGUAAUUGCACUUGCAAUUGGGUAUACACUUAGUUGCCCUGUUGAGUCUUCUCUUAGUUGAUGAAACUGCAUGGUGUAAAUUAGAUUUGAUGUUAACACAACGUCUGCUUAGUUCGCUUUUAUGAAAACCGGGUUAACCUUCGCUUAGUUGGUUAACUUUGUUGGAUUAGAAGUUUGAGUCGCAACUUUAUUUUGUUGAUCUGUGAUAGGAAACAUUGUAAUUAAGUUAAUGACCAACCAUCUCCAGUCUGCCUUUUAAACCGUUUCUAAAUCUGUGUUUAAUUAUCAGUUGCGUUAGUGUUUUGAUUUUAUUCAUCCGUAUUCACCACAACAUUUUCACAACCCCCCUACUUCGUGUUUGACUUAAUUCUUGAACCGCAAAAUUGGUCCUUGAGAGACGACCUAGGAGUCAUUUCCUAGUCUAUACUGCAUUCUUUUAUGCACAUUAAAUUUUGCAUGGGGUGCGACACCCAUCACCUAAGUCCAGUGUCCUUCCACAUCCAGGAAGCCAAUGCACUAUAUUAGUCAAGGUUUUUACAACAAGAUUUCUAUAGAGAUCCCCACGUCAAAAGUAUAGACAAUCUCUCUAACCCUCUAACUAAAAGUAUAGGCAGUCAACACAAAGAUAUGCAGUAAGAUAUCCCCUCUUCUGCAAUCUUCAACCCACUUUGAACAGUCCUCAAAGUGUCCAAAACUCCACGAGUUCACCUCCUGUAAUCGCAACAGGACAGCAACAAUCUUUCCAAAGAUUGAUAGAAAACUUGAUCAAUAUGAUGAACACCAACUGUGAAGAUCUUGAUCAAACAAUACGCGCAAUUCACUUCCUCCUUAAGAAACUCUUCCAAGAAAGAUCUCCUCCGUCUUCUUGAUGAGUUCUUGGAGCCUUUACAUAAAGAUCACAAUCUGAAAUAUCAAAUGAAAGCGUUAGAAUAUCCAAAGUUGUAUGUGAUCAAUAGAAACACGUCUAUUUAUAGUUUUCUAUAAACCAGACGCUCCUGUAGUCGACUUUGCUACUGAUGUAGUCGACUGUCAUCAGACAGUUAUAAUAGUUAAAACAAAUUAGCAGCAGUCAUAACAACUAAAUUGAUUUCAUAUUUAAUUCAGUUGACUUGCAUUUAAUGCUUUAGCAAAGAGUUGAAAUAUAGUUGUUACAGCACAAAAGCAUUAACAAAAUUUCAAAACAAAUAACUAACUAAGUCGAAUUCACUACACAUGCAGUCAACUUAGACACUUCAACUUAGUUUUGAAAGACUUUUCAAUGCAAAAUCACACACAACACUGCUUUUGAAAAUUUGUGCAAAGUCACGAGUUUUAAUCGACUUACUUCAUAAUGAAGUCGACUUAAAACUUGCAGUUUUGCCACACAAUAUAAGUCCAACAAAGUGCAUGUGGUUUUCUUUUCUUAAACAUAUGUAAUGCAAUCACAAAAGAUGUAUCAAGUAUAAAAUCAGUGAAUAUUAAUACAUAUAUGAGAAUCAACACAAACAUGUUCUGUAAGAUAUCAUUCACAAUAAAGAAUUGAACAUGUAACACAUAGCAAUACAUGUGUUAUUAAUAACGUGUUAUCAUCAUCAAAAACCAUAGCACUGUGCGAUUAAGGUUUAGCUAAACCAGUGCUUCCCUUAUCAACAGGACCUGCAUAAUCAGUGGUGGAACUUUUAUUUUUCAUAAAUCGAUUGAAUUUUCAUACCACCAUUUUCAUUAUCUCUUUGUCAUUCAGUUCUGUUUCUAAGUCAGCUUCAGGUUCAAGAUUCUUUGAAGCUUUCUUGCUUGUUGCCUUAAGGGAAAUUGACUUCUUUUCUUCAAUUUCUUCCACCUUAUUUAGCCUUCCAAGCUCCAAUUCGUUUUCUCUGAGUUUUCCAAACAAAGUGGCCAUGUUCAUGCUGAUCAAGUUUCUUGAUUCAGAUACUGCAAUGACUUUCGGUUGUCAACUUCUAUUGAGGCUUUUCAAUAUCUUGAUGUUGAUUUCCUCUUUGUUAAACACUUUUCCAAGAGCCAUGAGGUGAUUGACUAUGUGUGUAAAUCGCUUAUGUACUUCAUAAAUAGUCUCUCCCACUUUCAUUCUGAACAACUCGUAUUCUUAUAUAAGAGAAUUCUUUUUGGCCCUUUUCACUUCAUCAGUUCCUUCAUAUGUGACUUCAAGGGCUUCCCAAAUCUCUUUGGUCAUUUUGCAUUGUGAUAUCCUAAAAAAUUCACCCAUUUUUAGUGCUGAUGCAAUCACAUUUCUAGCCUAAACAUCAUAUUGAGUGCUUUCAUUCUCAUCUUGAGUCCACUCAGAAAUUUUUUUCAAAAAACUUUUCCAUUUAAAACAUGAGUGGGCUCAUUUGGACCAUUUAGUUUUGCAUCCAAACUCCUUUAUCAAUCGAUUCAAGAAAGAUUUGCAUCCUUAUUUUCCAAAAAGCAUAAUUUUCUCCAGCAAAUAGUGGUUGUCUAUUUGUUGAAGCACCUUCACCAAAGGUCUAAGAAUUGAAAGUCAUUUUCCAGGAUCAGACGAUUAAUCGGAAAUAGCAAUCAACUUGUUUUUCAAAUAUUUUAUGAAAACCAACUUUGGUGUCAAUUGUUAAAAUAAAAUGGCUCAAUUUCUCAUACCAAGAGUGUUGAGAUUGUUGACAACACAAUAUUUAUAUCACUCUGGUUUUUUAUGAUGACAACACAUUUUUAAUAACACAUGUAUUGUUGAUGUGUUACAUGUUCUAUUGCUUAUUAAUUGAUAUCGUGUUGAACAUGUUUUUGUGUUUAUCUUCAUAUGUGAAUGCACAUUUACUGAGCUUGUAUAUGUUACAUCAUAUCUGGUUGCAUUACACAUGUUUUGAAAGAAGAAAACCACAUGCACUUUUAUGAACUUACAUUGUGUGGCAUAACUGCAAGCUGUACGUCGACUUCAUUAUGGGGGAAGUCGAAUUAAGCUCGUGACUAUGCACAGACUUUUAGAAAAUGUGCUAUGUGAGAUUUUGAAUUGAAAAGAAUUUCAAAGUGAACUUGUGUCGAAGUCAACUGUGUGCGCCACGCAUUCGAAUGUAUUAGUGUCUUGAUUUGGAAUUAUGUUAUGCUCUUGAACAGUAACGACUAUAUUUUUUAAAGUUAGUUAAGCAUUGAAUGUUAGUCAACUAUAUUGAAUGACGAAGUAAUUUGUUUGACUGGACUGCUACUAUUUUGACUUAACUGUUAUAAUUGUUAUAAGACAGUCGACUGUAUUAGUAGCAUAAUCGAGUACAAGAGCGUCAUAUUUAUAGAAAUCUAUAAAUAGACGAGACCUAAGUUGUUUCAAAGAACUUUUGGAAAUCUAAUAUUUUCAUAUUCUAUUUCAAAUUGUUUCUUUGAAGAUUAGAGCUCCAAGAACUCAUCAAGAAGACGAUUGUGAUCUUUCUAUGAAGAGUUUGUGAAGGAUAGUUGUAUCGCGCUCAUUGCUUGAUCAGAAUCUGCAUAAUUGAGGUGUUUUUGGGUUGAUCAAGAUUCGUGUUUGCAUUCCGUGGUGAUUGUUGUGUUACAUGUUGUGACUACAGGGGUUGGACUCAUGGAAUAUGGUACACUUUGAGGACUGUUGCAUAUUGCAGGAGAGGGGACAUCUUCCUGCAAGUCUUGUUGUGUGGUUUGCCUAUAUUUUGGUUAGGGUUAGAAAGUUGUCUUAUAUUUUUGACGUGGAGGUCUCUAUAAGAGUGUUGUUGCAAAAACCUUGACCAUAUAUAGUGCAAUUUCUUCCUGGUAUUGGAAGGACACUGGAUGUAGGCAUUGAGGCUGAACUAGUAUAAAAACCUACGUUUGAAUUCUCUAUCCCUACCCUUUUACAUUCAGUCGAUUUUACAAUUCACAUAGUCAACUUCAAUUUUCUGCUGCACUUAAUUUUCUAUUACCUGCGAUUCAAGAAAGUUUGUAAAGUUUUCUACUUUGUAUUAAAGAUUGUGAAAAGACUCUGAUUUUGAAAACCCACCAAUUCACCCCCCCCCCCUCUUGGUGUUAAAACGAAGCCUACCUAUUUCCCAACAAUUGGCACCAGAGUUGAUUUUCAUAAGAUAUUUGAAAAACUAGCCGACUCUAUUUUUCUUUGAAUCGACUAUAGACCUAGGGAUCGCUUUGUUAAGAGAGUUUCAAAAGAUUACAUUGUUCCCCAACAACCUAGGGUUUAGUUCACCAUAAUCAUGCUGAAUCUAGAUGAAAUACAAUGAAUGAAUGGAAGAAAUAACCCUAAACUUGGUAGAUUGGAGCCUAAGCAUCCAAGGAACCUCCUCCAAGGUGUGUGGAAUAGCUCUGGACGUUUCUCUCUACCAAAAGAUUCAGUUUUGAUUCGCACUGGGUCUAUUUAUAGAACAAAAAGAUAACAGAAAGAUUACAGAAUCCGAGCUAAUAAAAACAAACAACCACUCAGGCGCCUAAGUAAACCGCUCAAUGGUUUCCCUUUAGCCGUUGGACCGCUCAGCGGUCAAUUUUACCGCUGAGCGGUUUCCCCCUAAUCGUCCUGAACGCUCAGCGGUCCCUUUAACUCUUCUUUGUUAGGAAACAGGUUGGCUUCGUUUUACACCAAGAGGGGAGGUGAAUUGGUGUUAGCUCAAAAACAAAAUCUUUUUGCAAUCUUGGUAUGAAAUUCAAAGCUUUUGAUCUUUUCUUGAAAUGCAAGUACUGAAAAUUCAAUGCAGCGGAAAAAAACGUAGUUGACUGCUAAACAGAUAAAGUCGACUGAAUUAAAGAGUGUAGGGAUAGAGAAAAUCAAACACUGGUUUUUAUACUGGUUCGGCCAACAAUGCCUACAUCAAGUGUCCUUCCAAUCUUAAAAGCAAAUGCACUAUAAUGGUUGCGGUUUUUACAACAAGGAAUUUAUAAAGCACCAUUGUUAAGUCCCUGGCAAGUGUACCAGAUCGUUAUCAAGUAAUAUGAACGGGUAAGUCCGAGUGUCGUUUUCCAGAAGGACUCUUAGGCCUUAACUUUCAUGUAACCUAAUCGCGUAAGACUUGAAGAGAAUUAAUUUGGUGGUUAUAUGCAAAGAACAAAAAUAAACAUGCAAUGCAAUUGAUUCAGUUGGUUUUGAGAAACUAUGUAUGAAUGGUGUUGUUGGGGUUUAAAAUUUCAUCUUAUCCACUCUCAUAUAUCUACUCUUCUUAUUUAAUUCACUUAUUUAUCUAAUUGCCAUGCAUACUUUCUUAUUACCCUUAACCCAAUCCCUUGGUGAAAAGAGUCUAUUACUAAUUACCGGCUUGCUAUCCCUAGCCUCCCCUAGUAACCAAUAAUGCAAUGUGAUCUCAAGCAAUUACAAUUGACCGUCCUACCCCUAUCCCUCGGCGAUAUUGGCAUAAUCAAGGAAUUUCGCACCAGUUCAUGACAUUACCGUACGUCCCCUUAUCGGUAAAGACAAAGAUCUUUUACUGAAUGAGUUAAACAAUAAAAGCAUUGAGUGCAAAUGAGAACACAACAAUUGAUAAAUAAGUAUAUGACAAGCACAUGAAAUAAAUAAGAAUUUCAAUAUAUGAGAGUUUCAAAAGAUUACAUUGUUCCCCAACAACAAAGGGGUUUACUUCACCAUUGUCAUGGUGAAACUAGAUGAAAAUAAUGAAAGAAUGGAAGAAAUAACCCUAACCUUGGUUGAAUGGAGCCUAAGCAUCCAAGGAACCUCCUCCAAGGUGUGCGGAAUAGCUCUGGACGUUCUCUCUGCCAAAAGAAUCCCUAUCUAAUUUGCACUGGGGCUAUAUAUAAGCCCAAAAAGAUAACAGAUAGAUAACAGAAAGAUUUACAGAAUCUAGCUAAAAAAUAGACAACCGCCCAGGCGCCUAAUUUGACCGCUCAGUGGUUUACCUCUAGCCGCUUAGCGGUCAGUUUUGCCGCUGAGCGGUUUCCCUCUAAUUGCUUUGAGCGCUCAGCGGACCAUUCUGGCGCUCAGCGGCUUGCUUGACCUUUCAUGGGUCUAAGUCCACCUUACUUCACUUCCAUAUUUAAUUCAUCUAAAAACCCUACAAAACAAUGGAAAACAAGCAUAAUAUCGCUAAAACCAACUUUUGACUCUCAAGAGACUCAACUAAAUGUUUUACUUGAUUUAAAGCUCAUUCUAAGCCACAAAGGGUGUGUUUUAGUAUCAAAUUUGAGCAUGAAAAUAAUGGUUUUUAGACCGUUAUCACAACCCCAAACUUAGAACUUUGCUUGUCCUCAAGCAAACAAGACAAAACUUGGCUUUCCAAUUUUUCAUCAAAUAAUUCAUACUUUCAAAAACUCCUUUUUCUCAUGACAAGUUAUUAUACAAUUUCAAAUUUCAGUGGAAUCCUACAAAGAUGCAUGCAUGCUUUCAAUCCAAAUUAGUUCACAUAAUCAAUCGUUUUUUCCAACAGAUGUUUCAUUAAUGAAUGAUUAAUUAACUAAACAUAGAUAUAAACAUGGAUUUAACAAUUCUCACCAAACAAGUGUUUCACUCAAUCACUCAAGUGUUUAGCAGGUCACUCUACUCUCUACUGCUCACAUGUCACAUAAAACAAUAUUGUCAUUCAUCUAAAACAAUCAAUAUCUUCACAUGCAAAUGUCAUCACAAGGACUUGUCCAAGGCUUGUAUUGUGGCUGGGCUAUCAAGAAAGUUGGUUUUUCUGGAAUACAAAAUCCUCAAGUUAAGAGAGUUUAAAUCAUUGUUCAAAGUUCAAGCACACUGUCAUUUUAACCAAUCUCACUCAUUCCCAACUUUUUCCCUUUUUCAUUUUACAUUGAGUUCUCUUUACAUGUUUUUCUAUUUUCUUCUUUUCUUUUCUUUUCACAUGCAUUUUUCGUUUUCAUCUUUUGAACUUGAUGCUUUUCUUUUUCUUUUGCCUUUCACUUUCCCCAUUCAACCCCAAACUUGAACCUUUUCAACACAUAUAAUUAUUCUCAACCCUAACUCAAGGUAAAUCAAUUCAAUCAAGGUUUUUCAUAUUGUUUAAGGUCAAGGUUCAAAAAGGGUAUAUCAUUUAAAAUUCUUUGGGUGAAAAUUUGGCUUAGUAAGGGCUCUCCAAACAUGGCCUUGAUCAUAUGACAUACACAUGCAAUUCAAUCAAUUAUCAAGAUUAAGUCAAUACCAUUCAUGAUUCCCUGUAAACAGUACACACAACAAUAAAACUCUGAAGCUCAAUACCUCACAUAAUCAGGCUUUCUCACUUCUCACAUGAAUCCUGCUUAGCAUCAAAAUCACAAUCAUAAAUCAGUUACUCAUUUGUUCACAUAGCUAGUGAACCAUCAACCUGGAUAUCAACAUUCACACACUCUCAAUCAUCAUCCACAAUCAAUCAUCAAUAGUAAACCACUCAUCAUGCAAUAAAUUAGAACCAUUAUUCGAAUAAGUGUACAAACCAAGCAUAGACUCAAACAUAAAUUUAACCUAUACUACUAAUUCAAAGUGAUAAAACCUGGGUUGCCUCCCAAAAGCGCUUGUUUAAUGUCAUGAGCCUGACCCAAACCUCAUGGAUCCACCAACAUCAGUAUGGUGGAAAACUGUUCCACUUCUCCUCCUAAAUAAUGUUUGAGCCUCUGACCAUUUACAACCCAAUUUCUCUCCUUAUCUGUAGUUUCCAAUUCCACAGCUCCGUUUGGAUAUACACGCUUUAUCACAAAGGGUCCCGACCAUUUUGAUUUCAGCUUCCCAGGAAAUAACUUCAACCAUGAAUUUAAUAGUAGCACCUGUUGUCCUGGAGUGAAGACUCUCUUUAUCAGCUUUUUAUCAUGAUAAAAUUUCACCUUUUCUUUAUAACUCCUUGAUGAAUCAUCUGCAUAUACCGCCUCUCUUCAAGUUCUAAAAUUUCAAAGCCCACAAAGCCUUAUGUUCCAUCUCUACUCGCAAGUGACAUGCUUUCCCAUAUACCAUCUGAAAAGGUGAUAACCCCAAUGAAGUCUUCAUAGCCUUCCUGUAUGCCCAAAGAGCAUCAUCUAAUUUCUGUGACCAAUCCUUUCGUGAAAAAGCAACUAUCUUCUCUAAUAUCCUCUUAAUUUCCCUAUUGGAAACUUCAGCUUGACCAUUCGUUUGUGGAUGAUAGGGUGCAGCCACUUUAUGUUUCACCCCAUAAUGUCUAAGUACCUUAGCAAGCUGAGCAUUACAAAAAUGAGACCCCUCAUCACUAAUAAGUACCCUAGGGGUUCCAAACCGUGAGAAAAUUUGCCUUUUCAAGAAUUUAAUCACCGUAUUGGCAUCAUUCUUUGGACAUGCUAGAGCUUCCACCCAUUUACUCACAUAAUCAACAACCACCAAAAUAUAUUCAUUAUUAAAUGAUGGUGGAAAAGGCCCAACAAAAUCAAUACCCCAACAAUCAAAAACUUCAACUUCCAAAAUACCUUGUAACGGCAUCUCAUGCCUUCUUGAAAUAGCUCCUGGCCUUUGACACUUAUCACAAUUCCUAGCAUGAUUAUGCGCGUCUUUGAAUAAAGUAGGCCAAUAAAAUCCUGAUUGAAGAAUUUUUGCACCUCUUCGCUCCCCAUUAUAAUGCCCUCCAUAAGGAGAAUUAUGACAAUGCCAAAGGGUUCCUUCUACCUCUUCCUUAGUUACACAUCUCCUUAAAAGACUAUUUGCUCCAAUCUUGAAUAAAUACGGAUCAUCCCAUAUAAAUUGCUUAGCAUCAGAAUAAAACUUCCUUUUCUGUUGCCAAUUUAAUUCUUCAGGGAUAACACUUGCAGCUUUAAAAUUAGCCAUAUCAGCAAACCAUGGCCUUUGUUGAAUAUACAAAAGAGUUUCAUCUGAAAAAGACUCCCAGACUUCCUUCUCCUUGCUUGUUACUUCCGUGUUAACCAGUCGAGAUAAGUGAUCAGCUAUCAAAUUCUCACUUCCCUUCUUAUCCCGAAUUUCUAUGUCAAAUUCUUAUAACAAAAGUACCCACCUGAUUAACUGUGCCUUUGAAUCUGGCUUUGUUAACAAGUACUUUAUAGCUGCAAGAUCCAUAUAAACUAUAACUUUAGAUCCAAUGAGAUAAGAUCUAAAUUUCUCCAGUGCAUAAACUAUGGCCAAAAAUUCUUUCUCUGUGGUAGCAUAAUUAAACUGGGUUUCAUUUAAGACUUUACUAGCAUAGUAAAUAGCAUGAAAUACUUUUUCUCUUCUUUGACCCAGUACUGCACCUAUAGCAUAGUCACUAGCAUCACACAUAAGUUCAAAAUCUUUAGUCCAGUCUGGAGCCACAAUUACUGGAGCAGAAAUCAAGCUUUUCUUCAUAACAUCAAAAGCUUUCAAACAUUCAGAACUCAUCUCAAAUGGUGUAUCCUUCACUAGCAAAUUACUCAACGACUUAGCAAUCUUUGAAAAGUCUUUGAUAAAUCUCCUAUAGAAACCAGCAUGGCCUAAGAAACUCCGGAUUCCUUUCACGUUUGAUGGUGGUGGAAGCUUUUCAAUUACCUCCACUUUGGCUUUAUCAACUUCAAUCCCUUUAGACGAAAUUUUGUGUCCCAAUACAAUUCCUUCAGUAACCAUAAAAUGGCAUUUUUCCCAAUUCAAUACAAGAUUUGUUUGGACACACCUUUUAAGAACUGCAUCUAAGUUGUUCAAACACCUCUGAAAAGAAUCUCCAAAUACCGAAAAAUCAUCCAUGCAGACUUCUAUGCUUUUCUCCAUAAAUUCCGCAAAGAUGGCAUGCAUACACCUUUGAAAUGUGGCAGGUGCAUUAUAUAAUCCAAAUGGCAUUUUUCUAUAAGCAAAUAUACCAAAAGGACAUGUGAAAGUUGUUUUCUCUUGAUCUUCAGGAUCUACCACAAUCUGAUUAUAUCCAGAAUAACCCUCGAGGAAGCAAUAAUAUGUUUGUCCAGCUAAUCUUUCUAGCAUCUGGUCCAUAAAGGGUAAAGGAAAAUGAUCUUUUCUGGUGGAUGUAUUUAGCUUCCUGUAAUCUAUACACAUCCGCCACCCAGUAAUUGUUCGCGUAGGAAUUAAUUCAUUUUUCUCAUUAUGAAUUACUGUCAUUCCUCCUUUCUUUGGCACCACUUGAACUGGACUCACCCAUUUACUACCAGAUAUUGGGUAUAUAAUUCCUACCUCUAGCAACUUCAACACUUCCUUUCUCACAACUUCUUUCAUAACUGGAUUUAAUCUUCUUUGUGGUUGAGCCACUGGUCGAUAAUCACUCUCCAUAAGAAUCUUGUGCAUGCAAUAUGUAGGGCUUAUUCNCUUAAGAUCCGUGAUUGACCAGCCUAUAGCACCUUUAUUUACUUUUAAGACUUCCACCAACUUUUCUUCUUCUUUUGUAGAUAAUAACUUACUAACAUCAGCUUCCAAAAACACAUACUUCAAAUGUGGUGGUAGUUCUUUCAGUUCAAGCUUGCUUUCCUUUACUUUCUCCUUGGGAUCAAUUCGUUCAAAACUGGUCUCUUCUAUUGGGAUUUCUUUUGUUUCCUCCAAUUCACGGACACAUUCUUCAAUCAUUCUCUCUUCUUCAUGCAAAUCUUCAUUCUCAUUAAUGAGCGACCUGUCCAGUGCAGAUACAUUUCGUAUUCUCUUAUCUUGCAACAUACAAAGUUCUUCAACAAUGUCUAUUUGAAAGCAUGACUUUUUAUCUCUAGGAUAUGACAUUGCUUGAAAAACAUCAAAAUUCACCUUUUCAUCCUGUACUCUGACCUUCAGCUUACCAUACUCCACAUCAAUUAAAAUUCUGGCUGUCUUCAUGAAGGGUCUUCGAAGAAUCAAAGGUGCAUCCCCAUUUUCCUCCAUCUCCAUAACGACAAAAUCCACCGGGAAUAAAAAUUUGUCUACUUUAACUAUCACAUCUUCAGCCACUUCAUAUGGGUAUUUAAGAGAUCUAUCAGCUAAUUGAAGAGUCAUCCUUAUUGGCUUUAGCUCUAAUCCUCUAAUCUUUCUGAACAUAGAAAGAGGGAUUAGAUUAAUCAGAGCUUUUCCCACUUCUAACUUUCCAAUAGUACAUGGAAUAGUGAAACUUCCUGGAUCUUGCAGUUUAGGAGGUAAUUUCCUUUGUAUGACUACACUACAGUUUCCUUGCACUUCAAUGGUUUCCUUGUCAACAUACUUCCUCUUUUUCAUAAGCAAUUCUUUUAGAAAUUUAGCAUAUGAGGGCAUUUGCUGAAGUGCCUCAAAAAAUGGUAUGGUUAUUUCCAACUUUCUAAAAAUCUCCAUAAAGCACUCAAGUUGCUUUUCCUUCUCCCUUCUUGAGUAUGUUUUUGGAUAAGGCAAAGGUUUAACAUACUCCUAUUCCUUCAAUUUUUCAACUUCUUCUUUCCUCUCAUCACCCUCACCAUUUUUCAUUUUUUUUUCUCUCUCUCUCUAUCUUCCUCUUGCUCAUUUUUUUCAAUACUCUAUUUUUCUACCUCUCUUUUUUCGACUCUCCUCUCCUCCAAUACUCUCCCACUUCUAGUAAUAAUUUCACAUGCCUCCUUUUCCUCCCUUUUAUCAACAUAGAACACGCUACUCGUCACAACUUUCUGAAAUAUUUCUUCUGAAUCAAUACUCCUUUGUAUUGGCAUGAAUUCAGGUUGUUCUGAAUUUCUUGAAACUAUUAUCAUCUCCUGUGGUAAGCUAGAUAAUUUCUGAAUAAUUAUCUCCAAUUGCUGAGUAAUUAUCUUGUUUUGUUCCAUCAUGGAACUAUAAUCCUAUGAUUCUGAAAUUUUUUGCACAACAUCAGCAUUCUCACUCUGCAUUUCUUCAUUAUCUGCCAUAUUCUCAAUCAUCUCAUAAGCCUCAUCCUCAGUUUUCAUUCUAAUAUCCCCUCUGGCUGCAGCAUUUAAUAUCUUCUUUGACUGCAUCUACAGUCCUCCAAUGAAUGUAAGAACUAUGUGUCUUAUCAAAUCCAUGGAUCGGGGUCUUUCUUAACAAGCUUUUAAACCUAUCCCAUGCUUGCCCGAAAGUCUCUAUCAUGUCCUGCUUGAAUGAUGAAAUUUCCAAUCUUCCCUGUGUAAUUUUUUAUUGUGGAAAAUAUUUCUUCAUAAAUGUUCUAGCCACAUUCUCCCAUGUAGUAAAUGUUCCAUCAGGGAAAGAGUUGAGCUAUGUCUUAGCAUUGCCUCCCAAUGAGAACGAGAACAAGCUAAGCCUCACCAUAUCAUCUGAUACACUUGCCAUCUUCACUGUGUUGCAUAUUUCACUAAACGCUGUCAAAUGGUCAUAAGGAUUCUCAUUUGAUAGGCCAUGAAACUGUUUGCUCUGCACCAGAUGUAUAAGUGUUGGAUUCAUCACCAUGUUGGUCGUUUGAUCUGUAGGCAUGACCAUGCUGCUAAAAUGGAAAGGGCCAACCGCAUCUGAUUGGUCUGCAAGAGUGCGUCUUGGAGGAGUUCUUUCAGCCAUCUCCUCUGUUGUUUUGUUCCCUAGAUGGGCGUCUGACUCUCCUUCUCCCUCUUGCUUCGCUUAAGCCUUCAAGAAGAGGUUGCGUAUUUUUCUUGCUUCUAGUAUGUCUCGUCUCCUGUUGCAUGCACAAGAAACACAAACCCUAGUAGCACUUUUUUUAUAUCUUAUAUAAAAAAAAUAAAAAGAUAAAAAAAAUAAAAAGAUAUAUACAAUCAAGUCAAACUUAAUCAGUUUACACUACUAGAUAAGUUAAACCACGAGUCCCCAACAACGGCGCCAAAAACUUGUUAAGUCCUUGGCAAGUGUACCAGAUUGUUAUCAUGUAAUAUAAAUGGGUAAGUCCGAGUAUCGUUUUUCCAAAGGACUCUUAGGCCUUAACUUUCAUGUAACCUAAUCGCGUAAGACUUGAGAAAAGAGAAUUAAUUUGGUGGUUAUAUGCAAAGAACAAAAAUAAACAUGCAAUGAAAUUGAUUCAGUUGGUUUUGAGAAACUAUGGAUGAAUGGUGUUGUUGGGGUUUACAAUUUCAUCUUAUCCACUCUCAUANNNNNNNNNNNNNNNNNNNNNNNNNNNNNNNNNNNNNNNNNNNNNNNNNNNNNNNNNNNNNNNNNNNNNNNNNNNNNNNNNNNNNNNNNNNNNNNNNNNNNNNNNNNNNNNNNNNNNNNNNNNNNNNNNNNNNNNNNNNNNNNNNNNNNNNNNNNNNNNNNNNNNNNNNNNNNNNNNNNNNNNNNNNNNNNNNNNNNNNNNNNNNNNNNNNNNNNNNNNNNNNNNNNNNNNNNNNNNNNNNNNNNNNNNNNNNNNNNNNNNNNNNNNNNNNNNNNNNNNNNNNNNNNNNNNNNNNNNNNNNNNNNNNNNNNNNNNNNNNNNNNNNNNNNNNNNNNNNNNNNNNNNNNNNNNNNNNNNNNNNNNNNNNNNNNNNNNNNNNNNNNNNNNNNNNNNNNNNNNNNNNNNNNNNNNNNNNNNNNNNNNNNNNNNNNNNNNNNNNNNNNNNNNNNNNNNNNNNNNNNNNNNNNNNNNNNNNNNNNNNNNNNNNNNNNNNNNNNNNNNNNNNNNNNNNNNNNNNNNNNNNNNNNNNNNNNNNNNNNNNNNNNNNNNNNNNNNNNNNNNNNNNNNNNNNNNNNNNNNNNNNNNNNNNNNNNNNNNNNNNNNNNNNNNNNNNNNNNNNNNNNNNNNNNNNNNNNNNNNNNNNNNNNNNNNNNNNNNNNNNNNNNNNNNNNNNNNNNNNNNNNNNNNNNNNNNNNNNNNNNNNNNNNNNNNNNNNNNNNNNNNNNNNNNNNNNNNNNNNNNNNNNNNNNNNNNNNNNNNNNNNNNNNNNNNNNNNNNNNNNNNNNNNNNNNNNNNNNNNNNNNNNNNNNNNNNNNNNNNNNNNNNNNNNNNNNNNNNNNNNNNNNNNNNNNNNNNNNNNNNNNNNNNNNNNNNNNNNNNNNNNNNNNNNNNNNNNNNNNNNNNNNNNNNNNNNNNNNNNNNNNNNNNNNNGCAAAACAAUGCAAAACAAGCAUAAUAUCGCUAAAACCAACUUUUGACUCUCAAGAGACUCAACUAAGUGUUUUACUUGAUUUAAAGCUCAUUCUAAGCCACAAAGGGUGUGUUUUACUAUCAAAUUUAAGCAUGAAAAUAAUGGUUUUUAGACCGUUAUCAACCACGCAAAAAUAUAAAUCUCCUCUUUAACCCAAAACCAGAUAUAGCUGCACACACAAAACCAUAAUUGUAGCAAGAAUCCCCUCUUCUGCAAUCUGAACCCACGUUGAAGAAUCCUCAACUUGUAACUAGCACUCUUCACAGGAUGCCAAGCCUAUCUCAGCACGCUUCACAAGUUACCAAGCUUAUCACAACAAACUUCACAGGUUGCCAAGCGUUCAAUCAAAUACAGCAGUCUUCACAGGAUGCCAAGCCUUUCAAGAUCAAACCAGAAGCACUUUCUUUGUGCAGAUGUUGAUCAAACAGUGUACGCAAUUGACUCCUCAAUCUGAAUCUCUCUCAAGAAAGAUCACCACCAUCCUUUUGGAGAAUUCUUGGAGCUUCCAAAACUGAGAACUAUCUCUGAAACAGGACAACGAAAAUGUUAGAUUACAAAAGUCUUAGAACAAUUCGUGUUCUAUCAUAUUUAUAGUUUUCCUGUCAUUCUCAGUCGAAUGGCCUACUAAUACAAUCGACUGUAUUAAAACAGUUACAACAAACAGUCAACACAAAGGCUCCGCAGUCAACCAAAUCAAUGCACAUUUAAGACAAUUGACCCAGUCAGUCAAUCUUAACUAACAUUUGAAAAAUAUAGUCGUUGGAACAAGUAGGCAUAACAGAAUUGCAAAUAUAACAGCAAUACAGUAGAAUAGGUGUUCCACACUAUCAACUGACACUUGAAAAAAUACUUUGAAAUUCUUUUCAACUCAAAAUCUCAUAAAGCACGUGUUCACAAAAUCUGUACAAAGAUUUUAGCAUAGUCGAAUCAAUUCCGAGUGUAUUCGACUAAACUAGACCUUUGUCUCAACAAAUAUAAGUUCAUAAAAGUGCUUGUGAUCUUUUCUUCAGAAAUGUGCAGAAGUAAUCAAAAUCAUUUUAUCACACAUUUCAAUACAAGCAUGUUCCAUAUAUAUAACACAUAAUCAAUCAUAGGAACACACAUUGCUAAUCAAUCAAAACAUGUUCAAUCCAAAGCAUUGUUCAAAUCAGUUUAGUAUAUCAGCUGAACAUGUAAACCUGGAACUUAUGUAUUGUUAUUAAGCAGUGUGUUGUCAUCAUCAAAAACCAGUUUGAUAUAGAGUUUGUGUUGUCAACAAUCUCAACAUUCUUUUCAUCCUUUUUCUUCAUCUUUCACGAGUCUAAGUCCACCUUGAUUUACUUCUUUCUUCAAUUCUCAUCAAAACCCUGCAAAACAAUGCAAAAACAAGCAUAAUAUCUCUAAAACCAACUUUUGACUCUCACAUGACUCAACUAAGUGUUUUACUUGAUUUUAAGCUCAUUCGAAGCUAUAAAGGGUGUGUUUUGAUAUCAAAUUUAAGUAUGAAAAUAACGGUUUUUAGAUCGUUAUCACAACCUCAAACUUAGAACUUUGCUUGUCCUCAAGCAAACAAGACAAAACUUGGCUUUCCACUUCUUCAUCAAAUAGUUCAACACUUUUCAAAAUUCCUUUUUCUCACAAGUUAUUAUUCAUUUCAUAUUUUCAGUGGAAUCCUAUAAAGAUGCAUGCAUGCUUCAAUCCAAUUCAGUUCACAUAAUCCCAACAAAUGUUUUAUUCAUGAAUGAUUAAUCCACUAAGCAUAGAUGUAAACAUGGAUUUCAACAAUUCUCACCAAGCAAGUGUUUCACUCAAUCACUCAAGUGUUUAGGAGGUCACUCCACUCUCUACUGUUCACAUGUCACAUAAAACAAUAUUGCCACUCAUCUAAAACAAUCAAAAUCCUCACAUGCAAAUGUCAUCACAAGGACUUGUCCAAGGCUUGUAAUGAGGCUGGGCUAUCAAGAAAAUUUGGUUUUCUGGAAUACAAAAUCCUUGAGUUAAGAGAGCUUAAAUUAUCAUUCAAAGUUCAAGCACACUCUCAUUUUAACCAAUCUCACUCAUUCCCAAAUUCUUCCCUUUUCUUUUAUUUUUACAUUGAGCUCAUUUUACAUGUUUUUUCUUUUUUUCUUUUCCUUUCUUUUUCUCAUGCAUUUUUCUUUUACAACCUUUGAGCUCAAUGCUUUUCUUUUGCCUUUCAACUUUCCCCAUACAACCCCAUUCUUGAACCUUUUCAACACAUACAAUUAUUCUCAACCCAACUCAAGGUAAAUCAAUUCAAACAAGGGUUUUCAUAUUGUUUAAGGCCAAAGUUCAAAAAGGGUAUAUCAUUUAAAACACUUUGGGCAAAAAUUUGGCUAAGUAAGGGUUCCAAGCAUGGCCUUGAUCAUAUAACAUAAACAUGCAAUUCAAUCAAUUAUCAAGACUAAGGCAAUAUCAUUCAUGAUUCCCUGUGAACAGUAUAUUCAUCAAUAAAAACUCUAGAGCUCAAUACCUCACACAACAUGUUUUCUCACUUAUCAUUCAUGUAUCUUGCUUAGCAUCACAAUCACAAUCAUAAACCACCACACAUAUGUUCACAUAGUUAGUGAACCAUUCACCUGGAUAUCAACAUACACACAUUCUCAAUCAUCAUCCACAAUCAAUUAUCAUCAUUGAAAACUCAUCAUGUAAUAUAAAAUCAAACCAUCAUCAGAAUCAGUGUACAAGCCAAGCAUAGACACAAAAAUAAAAUGCUCCUAUACUACAAAUCUGAAGUACAAAAGAAAAAAGAAAAACCCAUGUCCAAGUGUUGGCAUCCAUCAAUAGAUGCCCUCAGUGCAAGUCAUCAUCCAAGUCUUACUCAUCCCCUUCUUGAGCAUCCUCAAAAUCAUCAACAUCUUCAUCUCUGUCUGAUGCUCCAGCUGCUCCAGACCCACUGCCCUGUGCUUGCUCCUAAGGCCAAGCCAUCGCACUAUGGAACUCAUCCAUAGUCCACCUGUGCACUUGUGGCAUGUCAUGAAGUCCUAUAAUCAUCUCAACAGUGGCCACCUGCCCUCUACGGAGAGACUCCAUCCUUGCCUCCAUCACGGACAUAUACAUGUCCCUCAUCUAGAAAGGCUCAGCAUGUUGCACCGGUGCAUCUGCAUUUACGUCCUUCUGUUGUGCUGCUGCCUUCCUAGGAUGUCUCCUAGGAACUGCUAUGGCUGGCUCAUCACCUCCACAGUACUGACGAUAAUAGGAGGCAUCAAUAGCUCUCCUCGACCUCUCAUAAGGUGGAACUACAGUGUCCACUCCAGCCUGCUGGUACAAAUAUGUGAUUAGGGACGAAUGUCCCAGUGGUUUCCUGUUACUCACAGUAAUAGCGCAGCUCUGAAUCUCGUCGGCAAUAACCUUACCGACAUUAACAUCCAUCUGCCUCAGCAUGCAAUAGAUGAUAAGAAUCUGAUGCAUCGUGAUGUCGAAGACAUGAGAGCAUGGCUGUAUGUUGGCAUGAGUGAAUGCCAUCCAAUACUUGGCUAGGGGAGCCAAAUCUACCCUAAGGAUGUUGACUGGCGCUCCAUUAGGGUUCCUAUGAAAGUGUCUCCCAGGGAUACACAUCACUCUCUCAAUGUCUUCAUAAUCCCUGUGCUCCCCUAGAAUAGUAGCAUACCUACACUACUCUCCUAGCCACUCAGUCCCUAGGAAGGUGUUGAUAGUGUCGGGGUCGUAUCUGAUCAACUGCCCCCUCACAUAACUCAUGUACCUCCUUGCUGAUAUUCCUCCUCUGGGCAAGGCAUUGGUAUAAAAUUCCUUCACCAACUCAAUGCGAGCUGAUGCAGGAUAGGUGAUCAAUCUCUUCCAGCCUCGCCUCUCUAUCUCCAGUCCAAACUCUAGAGCUAAGUUAGGAAUAUACAUGGCCUUCCUCUCCAUCAGCAAACUCCUUUCCUGUAUAGUUGCAAAUGCUCCUCAUGCUUCUUGUAAAGAAACCUGGGAGAAUAAAAUCUCCUUGGUCUCUCUAGCUCCUUUCUCUUUUUGCCCAUGGUUCUCACUCUUUUUGAAGAAGACAUUCUUGAGUGGAGACUUUGAAUGCUUGCUAAAAUUGAUGAUGAAUGCCCUCUCCGAUGCAAAACCCUCAACCAAAAACCCCAAACUUUGAUAAAACAAUGGUGGAAAAGUGAGAUUUUGGUGAGUGAGAGAUGAGAAAGUGGGGAAAUCUCUCUAAAAAGCUCUUGAAAGUGAAAGAGGAGUGUUAGGGCUGAUGAGUCAAUAUUUUCUUGAUUUCACUUAGUUUAUUGUGCUAGAAUUAAUCAUGGUGAAUCUAGAUGAAAUACAAUGAAAGAAUGGAAGAAAUAAACCCAAACUUUGUAGAUUGGAGCCUAAGCAUCCAAGGAAUCUUCUCCAAGGUGUGUUUUGACUCUAAAACCAAGCAUAAUAUCUCUAAAACCAACUUUUGACUCUCACAUGACUCAACUAAGUGUUUUACUUGAUUUUCAUCUCAUUAUAAGCCAUAAAGGGUGUGUUUUGAUAUCAAAUUUAAGUAUGAAAGUAAUAGUUUUUAGACCGUCAUCAAGCUUUUGUUUCGCAAUCUAAAAGGACCUAUGUUAUCAAAAUUGAUUUAGUAUAUGCCCCUUGCAAUAAGAAGUCAAAUUCUAUUACUAAUGGAUUUUAUGAAUCUGUUGAAACAGGAAAUUUGCAAUAUAAGGCAUCGUGUGGUGGAGAACUUGUUUCUGGAUCACAGAGACUAAACCUGCUUGUCAACAGAUUUACAAAGUUUCUGGACAAAAAGGAUACACAGACAGAUCAAGGUGGCAUCAAGAAGGUCAAGACGGAAGAAGAACUGAUAAUGAUGGCGAAGUCUAGAAUUGUCAAUGCUGAUCUGAAACACGAGUCAAAAACCUCUACAUGGUAUCUGGACAGCAGUUGCUCGAGACACAUGACGGAGACCCUACAAAGUUCUCAGACAUCUCUUACAAAGCUACCGGUCAUGUCAAAUACGGUGACAAUAACAAAGGAAAGAUCAUUGGCAUGGGUAAAAAAAAAACCCCUUCAUCUUAUGAAAUUAAAAAUGUUUUGCUUGUAGAAGGGUUGAAGCACAAUUUGCUUAGCAUCAAUCAGUUGUGUGACAAAGGUCUAAAGAUCAUGUUUAAGCCCAAAUACUGUUUGAUCAGCAAUGGGACAACAUAUGAGUUAUUAUUCGUGGGAAAAAGAUUUAACAACAUUUAUGUAAUUGACUUCAAGGACAACCCAUUCGACUCGAUUGUCUGUCUGAUGACAAAAGAAGAAGAUGUUGGACUUUGGCACAAGAGACUUGCUCAUAUCAACAUGAAUUAACUGAAUAAAUUGGUCUCAAAGGAUUUGGUGGUUAGUCUACCUAAAAUUCGCUAUACAUCAGAAAGAUUAAGUGAUUCUUGCCAAAAAGGAAAGCAAACAAGACAUUCCUUCAAAAGCAAGAGAGAAAUGUCAACUAAGAGACCUUUACAACUACUUCACAUGGACCUGUUCGGACCCUCAAGAAUAAAAAGCCUCAGUGGAAACUCUUAUGGACUACUGAUAGUUGAUGACUACUCACGAUAUACAUGGACUUACUUCAUUGCGACUAAGAAUGAUACGUUUAAAUUUUUCAAAAGGUUUGCUGCUGCAAUUCAAAAUGAAAUGGAUCUUAAGAUCAAAUCUAUCAGAAGUGACCAUGGAGGAGAAUUUCAGAACAAGGACUUUGAUUAUUAUCUGGCUGAAAAGGGAAUAUCAUAUAACUUCUCAACACCUAGAACUCCACAACAAAAUGGAGUAGUUGAAAGAAAAAACAGAGCUCUUGAAGAACUUGCAAGACCAAUGCUAAAUGAAAGGAACCUGCUUAAAUACUUCUGGGCUGUUGCAAUCAGCACAACAUGUUAUGUACUGAACAGAACUAUCAAAAGAUCUAUCUUGAAGCUAACUCCUUAUGAAUUACUAAGGGGAAGGAAACCUAGUAUCUCCCAUUUACAUGUCUUUGGAAGCAAAUGUUUUGUACUUAAUAAUGGAAAAGAAAACCUUGGUAAAUUUGACUCCAAGGCAGACAAAGUAAUCUUCAUUGGAUACUCUCUAACGAGCAAAGCUUAUCGUGUGUACAACAAGAGAACUAUGAGUGUUGAGGAAUCGGUUCACGUCGCAUUUGAUGAAUAUAUUGAAGACAUUGGAAGAUAUGAUCACUAUAGGAAAUUAACUUAAAGAGAACACUCAACUGGAGAGGAGGAGGAACCUGAAGAAACUACUGAUAAAGAGAACAGUGGUGAACAAGUUGACUCUCCCAGAACCGAAUAGACUAAGGAAUGGAAAGUGCCAAAAAAUGUCUCCACUGACAACAUUAUUGGAGAAAUAUCAAGAGGAGUUUCUACUAGAAGACAACUAAAUCAAUUUUGCAUGAAUGUUGCUUAUGUAUCCAAGAUUGAGCCUAAAAGAAUAGAAGAUGCAUUGAGGGAUGGAAAUGGGAUGAUGGUUAUGCAGGAAGAAUUAAAUCAGUUCAGAAGAAAUAACGUAUGGGAGCUGGUACCCAGAACAAAUGACUUACAAGUAAUUGGUACAAAGUGGGUCUUUAGAAACAAAAUGGAUGACACGGGAGAAAUCAUAAAGAAUAAGGCCAGACUUGUUGGAAAAGGCUACUACUAGGAAGAGGGAAUCGACUAUGAUGAGACCUAUGCACAUGUGGCCAGAUUAGAGGCUAUAAUAAUUCUCCUUGCAAUUGCCUCUGUAAUGAAGUUCAAGUUGUAUCAGAUGGACGUCAAAAGUGCCUUCCUAAAUGGAUAUAUCAAGGAAGAAGUGUACGUGAAACAACCACCCGGGUUUGAAGAUUUUGAGCAUCCAGAUCAUGUAUUCAAAGUCAGAAAAGCUUUGUAUGGACUGAAGCAGGCACCAAGGUACUAGUAUGAACGAUUAAUUGAAUUUCUCAUAAAGAAAGGAUUCUCAAGGGGCAAAAUCGACUCAACACUGUUUAUCAAGAGCUUAAACAAGGAUAAACUCUAUGUUCAGAUUUAUGUUGAUGAUAUUAUUUUUGGUUCAACUAACUCUGUGUUGUGCAAGGAAUUCUCUAAGACUAUGCAGGAAGAGUUUGAAAUGUCCAUGAUGGGAGAAUUGACAUACUUCCUUGGUCAUCAAGUAAAAGAAACUAGAGAUGGAAUUUUUAUUCACCAAUCCAAGUACUACAAUGACUUGCUAAAAAAAUUAAAAAUGCUGGACUGCAAGGAGGCUGCAACUCAUAUGGCAACCAACUGUUACCUGGAUCUUGAUGAAGCUGGAAAAUAUGUUGAUCAAAAAGUGUACAGAGGUAUGAUUGGAUCCUUACUUUAUCUAACUGCUUGUAGGCCCGACAUUAUGCACAAUGUAUGUCUUUGUGCUAGGUUUCAAUCUUCUCCUAAAGAAUCACACUUAACCGUUGUUAAAAAGGAUUUUAAAAUACCUAAAAGGAACCAAAUGUCUUGGACUAUGUUAUCCAAAUGGUACAAAAAAAUUUCUGGAAGGUUACAGUGAUUCAAAUUUUGGAGGUUGUAAACUAGACAGAAAGAGCACCAGUGGCAAAUGUGAUCUACUUGGAUCUGCAUUGAUCUCCUGGCAUUCAAAGAAACAGUCAUGUGUGCCUUUAUCUAUCACAGAACCCGAGUACAUAGGAGCAGGAAGUUAUUGUCCACAGUCUCUUUGGAUUAAGAGUCAAUUAGAGGAUUAUGGUAUUAAAGUUAGAAAAUAUUCCUCCAAAUUGUGAUAGCACUAGUGGUAUAAAUUUGACAAAAAAAAUCAUGUUUUACAUUCAAAAGCCAAGCAUAUUGAGAUAAGGCAUCACUUCAUUCGAGAUAACAUCCUCAAGGGUGAAAUCAAGAUUGAAUCUGUAGACACCUUACAUCAAUGGGCUAAUAUAUUUACAAAACCUCUGAAAGGGAAAGAUUAUUUACUAUUCGGAAUGAACUAGGUAUUUUAAAUGAUAGUAGUAUAAAAUUAAUCUUAAAUCGACUUAGAAUUAAUUGAAGUUGAUUAUGCAUGAUUACACUAUUACAUUAUUUUGCAUAUUCACUUCUUGUUGGAUUAUUUUUUUCUUGCAUAACUAAAUUGCUUGAUCUGCAAGAGAGCUUUGAAAGGUUUUGAAGGAAAAAACUUCUUUGAAAUCACUAUUGGAAUCAUAACUCACUGAGAAGUAGUAAAAUUGACUCCGAUAAUAAUUCAAUUGACUUGAUCUCAACAGGAUAUAAAUUCCUUCAUUGGAAUUUGGUCAUUGUGUUGAUUGAUUAUCUUAUUCUGCUUAUCUGCAAUAUAUCUCUGAUUCUGAUUGUGUGAUUCAUAUGUGAGAUUAUAUUGUGAGAUUGUAUCUAUGCAUGAUAAAUUUGCUUGAAACCAUAUACAUGAUACAAUUCUAUUUAAUACUAGUUGUAUGUUGUAAUUAUUACUAUACUGCAUUGUGCAUCUAUAAUUGCUUGAGAAAAAUUUUCAUAAUGACAGGGGGAGCAUUACACGCAUACACAUAUUUCUUCACAUGCUACACUUCAGGAGGUGUUAUCUUUUUCAUGUGAUUAUAUAUGAUAUGGGGAGCAUCAUUCCAUCUUUUCAAACUGCUUAUAUUUCUUUUGAUGCAUCUCUGUUUGGUUUAUCAGCAUAUCAUAUCUAGAAGAAUACCUUUUUUGUUAAUGCACAAAGGGGGAGAAGUAUUGCGAAUUGUUAUUUGCUUGAUAUAUUGUUGAUUGAUUGUGUUCAUUCAGAGUAUUUGAACUGAAAUUUUAUUGUCAUAUCUUGUGUUUACUCUGAAUUUGGUUUGGUAUUGUGCAAACAAGUUUGUUUAUUAAUCAUGGUUGUGCAUCAUCAAAAAAGGGGGAGAAUGUUGAGAUUGUUGACAACACAAUAUCUAUAUCACUUUGGAUUUUGAUGAUGACAACACAUUUUUAAUAACACAUGUAUUGUUUAUGUGUUACAUGUUCUAUUUCUUAUUGAUUGAUAUCUUGUUGAACAUGUUUUUGUGUUUAUCUUGAUAUGUGAAUGCAUAUUUACUGAGCUUGUAUAUGUUACAUCAUAUCUAGUUGCACUACACAUGUUUUCAAAGAAGAAAACCACAUGCACUUUUAUGAACUUACAUUAUGUGGCAUAACUGCAAGUUGUAAGUCAACUUCAUUAUGGGGGAAGUCGAAUUAAGCUCGUGACUAUGCACAAAAUUUCAAAAACAGUGCUAUGUGAGAUUUUAAAUUCAAAAGAAUUUCAAAGUGAACUUUUGUGUUGAAGUCGACUGUGUGCACCACACAUUCGACUGUAUUAGUUGCUUGAUUUGGAAUUCUAUUAUGCUCUUGAACAGUAACGACAAUAUUUUUUAAAGUUAGUUAAGCAUUGAAUGUUAUUCAACUGUAUUGAAUGAGGAAUUAAUUUGUUUGACUGGACUGCUACUAUUUUGACUUAACUAUUAUAACUUUUAUAAGACAAUCGACUGUAUUAGUAGCAUAAUCGACUACAGGAGCGUCAGAUUUAUAAAAAGUUUCAACUUCGAUUUUCCACUGCACUUAAUUUUCUAUUACUUGUGAUUCAAAAAAGUUUGUAAAGUUUUAUACUUUUUAUUAAAGAUUGCGAAAAGAUUCUGAUUUUCAAAACCCACCAAUUCACCCCUCCUCUUGGUGUUAAAACGAAGCCUACCUGCUUCCCAACAAAGAGGGGGGGGGGGUGAAUUGGUGAACUGUAAAAACAAAGUCUUUUAAAAUCUUUUUCUCAAAAGGUGAUGCCUUUAAAGCUUUCUUGAAAUGCAAGGUAAAAGACUUUUUAAAGCAGCGAAAACUUAAUCGAAUGAAUAUAGAAUAAAGUUGAUUAAACGUAAAAGAGUAGGGAUCAGAAGAUUCAAACAAUAAGUUUUAAUACUGGUUCGACCAACUUGCCUACAUCUAGUGUCCUUCCAACCACGGGAAGCAAAUGCACUAUAAUGAUCAAGGUUUUUACAACAAGGUUUCUACAAAAGACCUCACAUAAAAAAUGUAAAACACCUCUCUAACCCUCUAAUCAAAAUAUAGGUAGUACAACAACUAGACCAGCAGCAAGAAUCCCCUCUCCUGCUAUCUAAACCCUUUGAGACACUCUCAAAGUCAAGAACGCCGCACACUCUUCUUCUUGUAGUCACAAUAGGGAACCUCAAUCCAAUCUUCAAAAGAUUGUAGACUCUGAUCUCGUAGUUACACCCAAAUGUGCAGAAUUGAUCAGCCUUUGAAAAUGUAGUAAACUUGCUCUUCAAGAAAUCACAAGGAGUUGAUCACCACGGUCACUUCUUGAUUCUUAGAGCUCUUUCUCUCUUUCUAUAAGAUUACACUUUCUGCAAAAGAUACCACAAACUGUUAGAUUCACAAAAGUUCUUACAGAAUUCGAAUUCGCAUCAAUUUAUAGAAUAACUCAUCACAUACGCAUUUUAAUCGACUAUGCUAUUAAUGCAGUUGAAUAUAACAAUUCUAUUAUAGCAGUUAGUAGAAAUCACAGCUACUAAUUGAAUUCCCAAUUAAUGCAGUCGAAUCUCAUUUAAUGCUUGGUCAACAUAAUUAAGAAUAUGAUCGUUAGAUAGUUAUAUCAAGCAUUAAUAGAAUUUCAAAACAACAACAAACUUAGUCGAAUGCAGCACGCCUGUAAUCGACUAUGUAACUGUGUUAAUCAUAGUUUUGAAAAACUUUCCCUUUGAAAGAUCUCACAAAACACUUUGAAAAUAGUUUGUGCAAACAAGCGAGUUUUAAUCAACUCACCCCAUAAUGAAAUCGACUUAAAAUUGUUGUUUUGCCACACAAUUAAAGUUCAACAAAAGUGUUUGUGGUUUUCAUUUUCCAAAAACAUGUGUCAUGCAUUCACAUAUAAAAUCACAUAUAUAACAUAGUGAAAUGCAAUGAAUGUCACAAUAAAAACACAAUCAUGUUCUCAUAUAUGCUCAAACAGAUUCAACACAUUGAUUAUAAGCAUAUAACAUGUAAACACAAAACAUGUAAUACAUAGUACACAUGUAUUAUUAAUUAUGCAUUGUCAUCAUAAAAAACUCAAAUAUCACUGAGAUUGUGGGUUCAGCUAUGUUGGAAAACAGAUAGGCUUCUUUUUACACCAAGAGAGGGGGUGAAGUGGUGAGUAUUCAAAAUCAGAGUCUUUUCGCAAUCUUUUAUACAAAGUAUAAAACUUUACAAAACUUUCUUGAAUCACAAGUAAUGAAAAUUGUGUCCAACGGAAAAUCGUAGUUGAGUACGCAGAGAGUACAAUCGACUAAAUAUAAAAGAGCAGGGAUAGAGAAAUCAAACACUGGUUUUUAUACUGGUUCAGCCUCAAUGCCUACAUCCAGUGUCCUUCCAAUACCAGGAAGGAAAUGCACUAUAAUGGUCAAGGUUUUUACAACAAGGGUUUUAUAGAAGACCUCCACGUCAAAAAUAUAAAACACCUCUCUAACCCUCUAACCAAAAUCUAGGUAAACCACACAGCAAGACUUGCAGCAAGAUGUCCCUUCUCCUGUAAUCUGCCAAACCACUUUGAACAAUCCUCAAAGUGAACCAGACUCCACGAGUCUAUCCCCUGUAGUCACAAUAGGUGCAAGCAACAAUCACCACUAGUGCCAACAAGAAUCUUGAUCAACCUAGAAACACAUCAAUGUGCAGAUAUGUGAUCAAGCAGUGAGCACGCAAUUAGUCUCCCUUUGAAUCUCCUUCAAGCAAGAUCACCACCUUCUUCUUGAUGAGUUCUUGGAGCUCUAUAACCUCAGAGAAAUCAAUCAGAAACAGAAUAUGAAAAUGUUAGAUCAUCAAAAGUCCCUGAGUAACAUCAGGUUCAAUCUAUUGAUAGAUUUUUGUUAAGUAGACGCUCUCUUGGUCGAAUAUGCUACCAAUACAGUCAACUAUGUUAUGAUAGUUAUAACAGCUUAGUCAAACCAGUAGCAUGAUAACGGUUGAAAAACCAUUAUUUUCAUACUCAAAAUUGACAUCAAAACACACCCUGUAUGACUUAGAAUUAGCUUGAAACCAUACAUUUGCUUUAGUUUUGUGAAUAAGAGAGUUGAGGUUAUACUUUAUGAUUUUAUCACUAAAUUCCCUUGAUUUUGUAGGUUAUUGGAAUGAUUUGAAAGAGGUGUCAAAGUAUCAAAGAGUUGAUGUGCAGAAAAGUCAACUAGAAUGCAGAAAAGUCAACUAGUCAACCAGAAAAGUCAAUCAGUCAACCAGUAAAGUCAACCAGUCAACCAUGUUGAGAUUGUUGACAACACAAACUCUAUAUCAAACUAUUUUUUGAUGAUGACAACACAGUGCUUAAUAACAGUACAUGUUCCAGUAUUACAUGUUCUUGUUCUGAAGUGUUUGUUAUAUCUGUUGAACAUGUUUUGUUGAUUUACAUUGUAUGUUCCUGUGAUUGAUUAAGUGUUAUAUUUGUGGAACACACUUGUAUUGAAAUGUGAAAUAAAAUGUUUUUAAUUACUGCACAUUUCUUAAAGAAAAAUCACAAGCACCUUAUGGACUUAUAUUUGUUGUGACAGUUCUAGUUCAGUCGAAUACACUCAUAAUGGAUUUGACUAUGCUAAAAUCUUUGUACAAAUUUUGUAAACCAGUGCUAUGUGAGAUUUUGUGUUGAAAAGAAUUUCAAAGUGAUUUUUCAUGUGUCAGUCGACAUUGUGGAUCACAUAUUCGACUGUGUUACUGAUCUGUUUGAAAUUUUGUUAAGCCUACAUGCUCCAACUAUUUUUCAAAAGUUAGUUAAGACUGUGUGACCUGGUCAACUGUAAUAAAUGUGUAUUGAUUUUGUUGACUGAGGAGCCUUUUUUUAACUGUCUGUUAUAAUUGUCUUAAUACAGUCAACUGAAUUAGUAGGUUAUUCGAUUGAGAAGCAAUCUAAUAUAACAGAAAACUAUAAAUAGACAAAACGCGAAUUGUUUUGUGACUUUGGUGAUCUGACAUUUUCAUUUUCCUGUUUCAGAUUGAAUUCUUUGUUUUAGAAGAUCCAAGAAUUCUCCAAGAAGACGAUGGUGAUCUUGCUUGAGAGAGAUUCAAAGGGAGGAGUCAAUUGCUCAUACUGCUUGAUCAAUAUCUGCACAAAGAAGGUGCUUCUGUUUGAUCUUUGAAGGCUUGGCAUCCUCUGAAGACUGUUGCGUUUGAUUGAAGGCUUGGCAACCUGUGAAGUAUGUUGUGAUAGGCUUGGCAUCCUGUGAAGAGUGUUGGUGACACGUUGAGGAUUGUUCGACGUGGGUGCAUAUUGUAGAAGAGGGGAUUAUUGCUGCAAUUCUGGUUUUGUGUGUGCAGCUAUAUUUGGUUUUGGGUCAGAGAGGAGAUUUAUAUUUUUGUGUGGUGCUUCUAUAAAUUCCUUGUUGUAAGAACCGCAACCAUUAUAGUGUAUUUGUUUCCUGAGUUUGAAGGACACUGGAUGUAGGCAUUAUUGGCCGAAUCAGUAUAAAAAGCAAUGUUUGAUUUUCUCUAUCCCUGCACUCUUUAUUUCUAGUCGACUAUAUUUGUUUAGCAAUCAACUGCGUUUUUCCGCUGCAUUGAAUUUUCAUUACUUUCAUUUCAAGGAAAGAUCAAAAGCUUUGAAUUUUCAUACCAAGAUUGCGAAAAGAUUUUGAUUUUGAACUAAGACCAAUUCAACCCCCCUCUUGGUGUAAAACGAAGCCUAACUGUUUCCUAACAAUUGGCACCAGAGCUGGUUUUCAUAAAAUAUUUGAAAAUUCAGUUGACUCUAUUUUUAUUUUAUUCGACUAUAAAACCUAGGGAUGACUUCAAAUUUUCA
rnacentral:lncRNA from 1 species